rnacentral:lncRNA from 1 species
UCUGGUGCAUCAAGAAACUUUGCAAUCCGAUCUAACGAAACCUUGGCCUCAAUGAAUGCUGAAAUGACAUCAGGGAUUAACCUUAUUGGCUCCUGGGCAAGGCGUAAACUUGCCAUAAAUGUGAAAACAUUGGUAGCAGAGAGAGUAGUUCCAAGAAAGUAGCAUGCCCAGAAAGUAACCGCCGAUACUACAAUGGGAGAGGACCAAAACAGAAUCAGAUUGUACCCUCUCUGUGACAGAACUGAUGAUAACCACUUGAAUUCCUCUUUCCUCAACCCUUCUAUGACAUUCUUGAAAUGAGUCUCCCAAGCAUACAGCUUCAGAAUUUUCAUGUUUGUAAGUGCCUCUGUGAAAGUCUUCAGCCUCUUGUCCUGAGUUCCCAUGAGCAUUUUCUGGUACUUGUGUUGUAACUUUCCCAUAGGAGAGUUUGUAACUACAGUCAAUAUUACUACAGACAGAGCUGCUAUAGUUGCAAGCCCCACCGAGUAGUAAAUAAUAAGCAAUGCCAGACACAACUGGAGGCUUGUUGACCAUAUCUGGUGAAACCAGUACGGGUAUUCACCUAUUUUGUAAGCAUCAAUGGUAACAAAGUUAAUGAUCUGACCAGGGGAAUACGACCCCUUUGCAGCAUUUGAGAGCUUAAGCUGCUUCUGAUAGAUGGCUGCAGAUAGAAAUGAUCUCACUUGGAGCCCAAUCAAUCUAGUUCGAAAGAACCAUUGCCUCUCUGAUAACGAUUCUAAGCAUUUAGUAAGGAAGAGCCCUCCUGUCAGUGCAUAACCUUCAUACUCAAAAGCUUCUUUGCCUUCAGCAACCAGGAUGAAGGCUCUAAGAAACAGAGGGCCAGUAGAAAGUGUCAGUACCUUGAUCAAUGCAUAAAAGCCAGAAAACAAAAUUUGUUUCCACUGCCACAACAAUAUAGUUGACAAAAUGGAAGGAGAGUGAGAUGACCGCUUGUUUUUCUGCUUGUUCUGCUGUUCCAUGAACAUUGAGUAACACAUUUCCGCUCGAUCUUCCCUUCUUAGCUGUGGAAUGUCUUUGUCCUCAAGUGUUUUCUCCUUACCCUUCUUGAUCAACGAAUUCAACCACCAAAAUGACAGUCUACUAAUAAGCCCGGCUUUCUGAAAAGGAGGUAAGCUGGCAUCUGAAUUGAUUUUAUCACCACCACUGCCUCCUUCACCAGGCAACGGUGUAUAGAAGCCAGCACCAUCAAUUUCUGAAUCAGUUCCUGCAUAUUUCGGUCCUGAAAAAGUGGAGAACAUCGAUAGAAUUGCUCCAGGAAAAGAUAUAACAUCUAAAAUCAUCUUGACUGAUACUGCAUCGCUCACAAUAGCUUCCCAGAAAGAUGUAACACAGAGAAAACCUGCAAUAAAGAAUGCAAGUACUGAACAGAGCUUCAGCCCUGCAAUAUGUAGAACUUGAUGCCUCCUAAACCUCACAGCUAAACCCAGAAAAAACCAGGCGAAGCCUUGUAAUAAAUUCACUAGCCAGCCAUGCAGAGGUAGAAUGGUGUUCUCUUCAAUCAGCUUCUCUCCCAAAAUCCAGAUCCCCAAACCCAGAUAAACAAACCCCAAACUACCAUUAAGAAAGGCUGCAGAAUUUAGCGUUGUGGAAAAGCAUAGAGACCGUUGAGGGGAUAAUAUCUUCAAAGCUGAUGCUUUAUAUAUGAAGAUAAAUAAUAAUAAGAACAAGAGGAUGAUGUCUACAGAAAUGACCAAAAUAUGAUUGAGACAUGAACAUGGACAGAUGAUGGCUAGGAACCCAGAACUGCUUAUCUUUCCAAUUUUACUUGAACACCCGGUACUUCCACAGAAAACAGUCCAGAGACUCUCACCCAUGUUGUAUCUUCUUGCCUGCACAAAACUGUGGCUGUAAUAAAAUAAAAAAAAUAAAAAAAAGAAACAAAAAGCAAAGGGUUAUUUAUUAGAUUUUUGGCGUUUUAGAGUUGGAAGUAGUACUAAACAUGAGAACCAUCAAUGCGUGCCUAAUAGUUUCAGUUCUCAGUGGAACUUAAAAGUUAAAUUUAUCAUACAGGACUGAUCUGAACUUAAUUCACAACCCCAGGUGCCUAAGAUCAGGAGAAAGAAUCCAAGAACAACUGAACUGAGAUUGAAGAGAACUGACCAUAGACAGAGAACAUGAGAAAUUGCAGAAAACAGAUAGGGAGAAUGGGAUCCAAUGGAAAUGAAUCAAACAUGAAAGCAGAAGAUGUGAACAAGAUUCAGGAAACGUAUGCAAAACCCCCCAUUUCUCUGUUUCGUUGUUGAGAAAGAUACUGGAAAAUAAAUGUAAACCUUGAAUCUCAUAACAAGUAAGGGAUGGAGUGGUAGCCUUAAGAUUGCAAAACUUCUUUUCUUAUACCAUGAGUCUCAGUAACCAAACACAACCCACUGAGAUUCCUUGACCAAGCACAGUCUAGGCCUAUUUUCUCAAGCUGAAAGGAUGAGCACAAAAAAACAGGAACAAGAAGAUGAGGCAGUUACCUUAGGAUACGUUGGACAAUGAUGUAAAACCAAACCACAUCUUUUUAUUUAAGCUUUCUGGAAAGGGGACAGGAAUAAUUAUAUAGUAGAAAAGCUUGCAGAAAUAAAUAGAAUCGAAUGGAAAGAAAUUGUUCCUUUUCUUUCGGUCCUAGCUUACACUUUUCCAGGUUCCCAUAAUAAUAGCUAAAGGACCCCUUGAUAGGAUCAAUUCAAGAAAAAGAUGGGAAAAAAAGAAAAGAAGAAAAACAGAGCCCAGAAGAGGAAAAUAGUAGAAAAUUAAUGCUCACAAUGCACUGAGUCAGCCCAACAGAAAAAGAAGUUUUAUAUGAAGGACCCAAGAAUUCAAAGCAAUUAAUGAGGAAACAAACAGAAUGAUGGAGCAACUUCAGAGAGUGAAAACCAUCUUGAACCAAUUAUAGAAUGCACAGAACAUGGGGGUGGUCAAAAUGUUAUGCUGAAGAAGAGAUACAAAAUUCAUAUGGGUAAAAACCAGCAUAGGCCAUCCAGUAUCUCACCAUGCGUCAUCAAAUCAGUCUGCCCUUUUUUUUUCCUUUUUUUUAUUAUUAUUUUUUUAUUUUUAUACGAGCAUAGGUCAUUCAUAGUCUUCUCCGUCUCAUCAAAUCAUGGUGUAGUUUUCACCUUCUACACCUCACUACUGUCUUUUCUUGCAUUAUAAAUGUGUUGUUUCACUGAAAUGACUAAUUGAGUUGUUCUCACGUGUUAGAGUUUUGAGGAAACUUGUGUUUUCAUGACGGUAAAUAUAUGAUUUGAUAACCACAUUUUAAUAUGGAAAGUAAUAUUACCCUUUCACUCUAAGCCCACUCCAUUUUUUAUGUCAAAAUUACGUAUAAAAAAAAAAUUAGGUUAUAGGCGACAGCGAUGGAGUGAUGUGGAGCUGUGACGACCUUGGCACCUUCGGAUUUUUCUUCCACGGGAGCAUCCAAGCCUCCAUGUCCAGAGAUGGGUUUAGCUUCAAUGGUAACGGGGCCGAUGGAUUGAGCGGCAAUGGUUGAAGGAAAAGAAAAAUUCGGAGGUGCCAACAAUUCUAGUUUGAUAUUCAAUUUUUUUUUAACAAAGUUAAAUACAAUAAUGUAAAUUAAUUAAAAACUAAAUAAUUUUUUUUUGAAAAAAAACUUAAAUUACAAAUUCCAAUAUGUUUCCUUUUAAGCAAAAUCGAAAGAUUAAAAAUGGUUUUUAAUUUGUUAACAUUUAUCACAUGGGAUCAUAAAAUGACAGUUUUUUAAGUUCCUUGAUGUAUUCUCAUGAUACCUAAGUUCUUGAUGUAUUCUCAUGAUACACGAAUUUCAUUUGGCAUAACUCAUAAUUUAUGGUAAGCAAAUGCCCACUAUAUGUUAUUUGAGUUUUAUCUUUAUUGGGUUUGAUAUAAAUUAAGGUAAUGUUUAUUUUUUGAUUAAAUAGAAAAAAUCAACAUAUUUGACUUUUUCUAUUUAGCUAAAAGUACAUUGUUGAUAUUAAUCAACUUAACUAAAAUGAAUUUGUUAUCAAAUCUUAAUGUUGUUUGGGUUUUAAUAUGACUUAGAUCUUAAUGUGACUCGGGUUUUAACAUAACUCAAGUUUAAAUGACUUGAUCUUAAUUAAAAAAUAUCUUUUUUUUUUGUUUUGAAUGUCUUGACAAUUCAAAAAGCUUUAUAAGAAUCGAAGAUUCUAUCAUGUCUUAUUAAAAAAAAAAAGAAUCUUUGCAAUUUCAAAUAUUUCCUAUUGGAAUAAUUUAGUGACAACUGAAUAUAUUCUUAGACUCUUGUACUUCCAAAAAAGAAAAACAUGAUAAAAAGAGUUGUAGGUUAACUCAUUCUAAUUUUAUAACAUAAAUUCUAAAUAAAUCAUUAAUUGGUUUAAUUAAUAAAAGGAUGAUUGUUAGCGUCAAUACCACCAAACUUCAUAUCUUUGUGUAAUCAUAGCAAUCAUAGAAAACAUUUUCUAAGAUGACGUCUUUACGUUCAGUAAUACAAAUUGAGCAACACUUCAAACACAUACACAUUUACUCUCUUAAUUACUGGUAUAAAAAAAUUCCUUUGGGUGUGGCUUUUUUUUUCUUCUUUAAAGGACAAAAGAAAAAGCCCUAUUUACUUUUGUACAUUCACUUUAGAAGGUUGUAAGAAAUAAUUGUAGACCGAAACAGCUUUUCUUUCUCCUUUUUUAUUAUUAUUUUUUUAUAUUUUUUUUAUUAAAUGACUAAAGAAAAAGCCCUAUUUACUUUUGUACAUUCACUUUAGAAGGUGAGUUUAAGUAUAAAAUAAUUCAUUUGUUGAAAAAAAAUGGUAAGAAUAGUAAUCACCUUAAAAUAUUUGUCAAACUAAUCUUUUGUAUGCAUGUGAGCAUCCACAUAAUUUUUUUUUUUAAGUGUAAAAAACCACCGUUGGUAAUUGUGGUUUUAAAAGUUUUAAAAAUAUCUUUAAAAUCACAAUUUGUAAUUGUGGUUUUACAAUUUUUCUUAAAAUUACAGUUAGUAAUUGUGGUUUCAAAAUUAUUUUUAAUCUACGCUCGUUUUAAUAGUAUUGUGAUUUUAAUAUUAUUUUUAAAAUAUUCUUUAUCAUAAUAACCAUAAAAAAUAUUUUUUGUCAUAAUAACCAUAAAACCACGGUUAAUAACUGUGGUUUUAAAAAUAUCAUAAAAACCAUAGUCAUAGACAGUGGUUUUACAAUUUUAUUUGUGAUUGUGGUUUUAUAAUUUUCUUUAAAACCAUAGUUAGAAGGGUACUCAUGUAACUAUAACUAAAAAAAAAAAAAAAAGAUUUUAGAACUUUGUUUUUUUAUUUUUAAUUUUAGUAUAAAUUAUGGAUGUACCAAAAUUUCUUAACGAUGAACCAAAUUUCCUUAAAGUUCGUUUCGGAGUGGGGAAAAUUUCUUACAAUUAUCCAUUGUCAAUUUAAAAUUAUUUUUUUGUACAAAUUAUCCUUAAUAAAUUUUUUCAUUACGAAUGUUUUAAAAUUAUAUAUAUAUAUAUAUAUUUAUCUUUAUUUUUCAUAUUUUUCUUGAAAUUUUGAGAAAAUAAUUUGGCCUACAUGCAUUCCCAUAAAAAAUUAUAUAUUUAUGUUAAAUAAAAUAUUUAUUUAAGGAAAUUUGUAAAAAAUAAACUUUAAGAAAAUUUGGUAUAUCGUUAAGAAAAACCUUCAUAAUUUAUACUAAAAUUUAAAAAAAAAAAAACAAAGUUCUAAAAUUUUAUAUUUCUUUUUUAGUUAUGAUUACAUGAGUCACCUUCUAACUGUGGUUUUAAAGAAAAUUGUAAAACCAUAAUCACAAAGAAAACUAUAAAACCAUCGUCUAUGAUUGUGGUUUUUAUGAUAUUUUUAAAUCCAUAGUUACUAACUGUGGUUUAAUGGUUAUUAUGACAAAAAAUAUUUUUUUAUGGUUAUUAUGAUAAAUAAUAUUAAAAUCACAAUCCUAUUAAAACGGGUGUUAAUUAAAAGUAAUUUUGAAACCACAAUUACUAACCGUGGCUUUAAAGAAAAUUGUAAGACACACGGUCUAUAAUUGUGGUUCAAAUAUAUUUUUGAAACUUUUAAAACUACAUUUAUCAAUAGUGGUUUUUUACAUUUAAAAAAGAAAAAUUAUAUGGAUAUAAAAAAUUAAUUUGGUAAAUAUUUUGUGGAUACAAAAGAUUAAUUUGACAAUUAUUAUGAGAUGAGUGUUAUUCUUAUCAUUGUUUUCAACAAAUGGAUUAUUUUGGACUCAAACUGUUAGAAGGUUGUAAUGAAUGAUUGUUGACUGAAACAGCUUUUCCUUUUUCCUUUUCAUCUCCUAAAUGGUCAAAGUGACUUUUAUCUUGAGGCAAAAGUCUCAUCUUUUUCCUCCAUGUGUUAUAUCAAAUUGGGGACCUCAACUUUCCAUAUUCAGUCUCAGAGGUCAUGAUACCAGUUUGGAAAAGCUCCAUUCUGCUAACCUUACACUCUCUUAUCCUAAUCAUAUGCAUUUUGUUCUUAUAUCAAAACCUUGGUCCCACGUCAUGUGUAUAACAAAUGAAUAGAUAAAUCUAAUAUUAUUUUCGAAGGAAUAUUGUUGAUUUUAAAUUAAGAUGGUGUUUAUUUUUUGAUUAAAUAUAAAAAAUCGAAAUAUUUAAUUUUUUCUAUUCAGUUAAAAGUAUUUUAUUGAUAUUAACCAAUUUAAUUAAAAUGAAUUUAUUAUCAAGUCUUAAUGUUGUUUGGACUUUAAUGCGACUUAGGUUUUAAUGUGACUCGAGUUUUAGCAUAACUCAAAUUUAAAUGGCUUGAUGUUAAUUAAAAAAGACCUUUUUUUUUUUUUUUUUUUAAUGUCUUGACAAUUCAAAAAGCUUCAUAAAAAUUGAAGAUUCUAUCAUAAGUCUUAUUAAAAAAAAAAAAAAUCUUUGCAAUUUCAAAUAUUUCCUACUGGAAUAAUUUAGUGACAGCUGAAUAUAUUGUUAGACUCUUGUACUUCCAAAAAAGAAAAACAUGAUAAAAAAAGAUGUAGGUUAACUCAUUCUAAUUUUAUAACAUAAAUUCUAAAUAAAUCAUUAAUUGGUUUAAUUAUUAAAAGGAUGAUUGUUAGCGUCAAUACCACCAAACUUCAUAUCUUUGUGUAAUCAUCGCAAUCAUAGAAAACAUUUUUUAAGAUGACGUCUUUCCAUCCCGUAAUACAAAUUAAAUUAAAUUCUGAAAAUUUUGAAAAAGAAAAUGAAAUAAAGAAGGAAAAAAUAAUGAAAAUUUUAAAAGUAGAUCUUAAAAUAAUAAGUUAUUUUUACUUGUUUCUUCACACUCAUUUAAUUUAUUUAUUUUUAUAUACAAAUUAAAUAAUUUAUAAAAAUGUAUAACACGUGACAUUUGUUAUGUUCCUUCUUAAAGGACAAAAGAAAAAGCCCUAUUUACUUUUAUGCAUUCACUUUAGAAGGCUGUAAGAAAUGAUUGUCGACUGAAACAGCUUUUCUUUCUCCUUUUUAAUUAUUUUUUAUUAUAUUUUUUUAUUAAAUGACUAAAGAAAAAGCCCUAUUUACUUUUGUACAUUCACUUUAGAAGGUUGUAAUGAAUGAUUGUUGACUGAAACAGCUUUUCUUUUUCCUUUUCGUCUCCUGAAUGGUCAAAGUGACCUUUAUCUUGAGGCAAAAGUCUCAUCUUUUCAUUUGGCUCCAUCUUUUUCCUCCACGUGUGAUAUUGAAUUGGGGACCUCCACUUUCUAUAUUCAUAGAUACCAGGCUGGAAAAGCUCCAUUCUCUUAUCCUAACCAUAUGCAUUUUUGUUCUUAUAUUUUAUAUAAAAAUUAUUAUUAUUAUUAUUAUUAUUAUUAUUAUUGUUUUUAAAAACAAAAAAUACAAGUCUAUACAAACAACACCUAACUCCUAACUCUUGGCUAGGAGUUGAGUUUUUAACUCGAUUAAACCUAAGAGAUAUCAGGGAUAGAUACUAUAAAUAACUAAUCAAAAUAAUUAAUUAAAAUAAUAUGCAAUGAGCAUAAGAUUUUUACGUGAAAAACCCUCACAUAAAUUGUGAAGAUAAAAAAAAUUAUGGGUUUGGGACCUCUAAUCUAAAUCCAUUAUUCGGGAUUAAGUUACAUAAAUUUACCUAACUAUUUACCCUAAGACAGUCCAUAACCUACAACUUGAUCCACAUUCGCGAUGUAGUAAUCUCCAAUUGCUCCUAGUGAAUACGCUUCAACCUUGCUAAAGGGAUGUUGGUCUUUAAACAAUCCAAGAUUCAAUACUUUGAAUAUUUGAUGAGAGAUUGGGAAUAGUGUGACAAGGUAGACUUAAUCCCUUGGUGAAUCUCUAACCCUUAAAGGGUUAUAAUGGGGUUUAUAUAUGCAUCCAAGCCCUAGGGGAUUGGUAUCCCAAAGUUUUCAAACUCAAUUUAUGUGAAAUAUUCGAAAAUAUUAUGUCAUAUUUUGGCAUAUUCUAUUUAGGUGCUUGAGCGGUCCCAACGCUUUAGCGCUCUUUCCACUACUCGAGUGGUCCAACUUUUUUCAAAAUGAAUUAAUUUAAACUUUUUAAUUUCUAAAAAAUAUACCAAACAACUUUUAACCCAAAUAACACUUAACUUGUCACAUGUCAAACUUUUUUAGACUUACUUGUGACCUUUUAAUAGAACGAAGAGCAACCUUGAAUCUUUAAUGAAGAGUAAGUCACCAUUUAAAAAGAUUCCUAAGCUAGAAAAUAGAUUGGAACAAAAUUGCCAACAUACGAUGAAAACUCAUUGUCUUAACAUGUACUAAUUGGUUUUUAAAUAAAAUGAUCAAAGCUUAAUCUAAGAAUUAGUAUCAAAACCAAGGUUAUAGCUCGAAUCAUAGGGGCAUCAUGUUUUGAUUUGGGAUGAAUCACCCAAACGAAAAUAAUCCCUCUAUUGAAAGGAUUUUGAGGCACUGGCCAAAAAACCAAGGCCGCUGAACCCAGCUCAGCCUGUCCAGGUCUGAGGCAUGGGCUUCUAGCAGGCCAAAUUUGGACUGUGGAGCCAUCUAUCUUGUGGCUGGCGAUAGACUGUGUGGCAGCAUGUUCUGAGGAUGGUGGGCUAAAGUAAGAAACAAAUUCAAUGGAGAGAAUAACCUAGGUAGUCCUUCAGAAAACUAUUUUCCAUCUCCUCUACUUCCGGAAGGAAGUCACUGAGGGAGCAUGGAAAUGGAUCUGGAGAUUAAAUAAAACUUGAUAAUAGUUUUGUAGAGCUCUACAUUAAGAUGAGAAAUGACCCUAGGAAUGAUCCCAACAAAGGUAGAACACACCUUAGAUGUGAACGAAGUUAACAAACCAUGAAUUCAGAACAUAAAAGAUUAGAAGGUCCUCCCUGUAAUAAUCCAGGAGAGACAGCCAAGAUACUAAGAAACUACAAGAAGCGGUAUCAAUUCUGUGCGCAAAAUAACUUUAGGAUCCAGUCAUCCAAGGUAAUGAAAGAAAGAAAGAAAAGAAAGGGAAAAAAAACCCGGCAAGUUGUGUGCAAAGUUCAGACUGAUGUUGCAAAACAAGACCAACAUGCUAUCUAUCAUAACCAUGACCGGUGGAGGAGUGUUGAGAUACUUGGCUUUAGAUGAAUCAUUUAAUAUUUUUAUUUAAAUAAAUAGAGCGUUUUUCUAUGCAGCAACUGACAGAACUCAAAAGCUAAUAACAGCUUCGGUAACUGAAGCAAAUAAAGGAGAAGGCAAGAGAAUAGGAAGUACACAAACAAGCAACUGGACGAUAGAUGCUACGGUCCAUGACCACUCUUUAAACAAGAGAUUACCAAUAAAACAGGAGCUAAAAACCAUAACAAUCCAGCCCAUCAUGCAGCAACCUCUCCAAAGAUUGUUGAAUGCAAUAACUGAUGGAUAUAUAAGGAAUGCAGAUGGAGCCAGCAGUUAUGGAAAUUUCUCCUUAAAUAAAAUUACCAGAAGGGACCAUGGGCAUGAAUGAUGGCUAGGAGCAGGUAGAAGAUAGACUUGAUGAUCAACUAUUAUUUCAGGUGGAUAAACAUUUGCUUUUUCUGCAUACUCAUUCUUUGCUGAAUCCAAGAUAAAUUCCACCAAAUGCAAGUCAUCUUUCCGACAACGCAAUAAGACAGCAGGUUCCUUCAAUCUGAGUAAAUUCUGCGACACAUAUUGUUAGACUUAUACGUACUAUAUCAAAGGACACAAGACAAUGACUAAAUAUUUUUAUCCUUAUGUCAUGCCAAAACUUGCUAUGAAUUAGAAAAGUUAAAGCUCAUGUUUCGACAUCCUAUGGGGAUUGUAUCAAGCCACUUGUGGUCCACAGCAUUGGGGAGCAACAAACCAAUUAGAGAAAUUGAGCUAUUCCCACAAAUUAUUUAAUGUGAGUUCAGGCUUUCGGGUAGAACUUCAAGAUCUUGGGGGAAAACAUUUAAAAAUGCAAGUCUCAUUGGAGCUCCCCUUUAAAGAAUUUUUAAAAAAUGUACGAGUCCCAGGUGUACAUGAUCUAUGCAGCGAAGGAAAGAAAUUCCAUCCAUUUAUGAAUGUUGAAGCACGUUAGCCAUACCCACAACAAUAUGAUUCUGAUGACGAAGUUAUACCAAAUAAAAUUUUGCCAAAUCAGCUGAGUUUAUACUGACCUGAACCAUAAGAUCUUUCAGAAGCCUUUUAUAGACAUUGUGAUCAUGUCCAGAGACGAUGUUUUGAAAUGCAAUUCAUUGUUGCAUACUGAUACUAUCCACUAGGCAGAACAACAAACCGAAACCCCAAUUCCUCAUAGUGCAAAAACAUACUACUAGCUUUCAAAACCUGUUUAAGUUUCAGAGCCAAUCUCCUGAGGCAUUACUUCCAUUUGAAGAGCGAGACCAGUACUCCUUGACAAGCUGCCCAAACAGUGAUCCCUCCUCCUUUAUCAGCUUCAUCGGCUCAUCGUACUCUACCAAUUUUCCUAUAGAAGCAAAAGCGGUAGUUAUUCAAAUAGGUUUUGCUAUAUUGAUCCCAAUUCCCAACUAGAAUGAAAUGUUCCUUCAUAGAACUCACCAUCACUGAUAGCAAGCACCAUUGUGCAGUCCAUCACGGUUGGGAUUCUGUGGGCUACUGUAAUUACAGUGCAGUCUGCAAAUUCUGUUCUUAUGGUCUUCUGGAGAAUGGAGUCGGUUGCAUUGUCUAUGGAUGCAGUGGCUUCAUCAAGCACUAGUAUCCGACUUCUCCUCAGUAGAGCACGUCCCAAGCAGAAUAAUUGUCGCUGGCCCAUGCUCCAAUUUGAUCCGUCUUGUACAACUGUGGGGGAGACAGAUUGUUAGCAAGAGUUUUCGAGUCCAAAGAAUAGUACCUGUGUGUAUUAUGCUUCAUACCCAAGGAGUCCAGACCCUCUUCUUUCUCUUGAACAGCCCCUCGAAGUUGACAUUUUUCCAGAACCUUUCACAAAUUCAUGAGAAACAAUCUUAGUCUAGGAUAUAAAGUAAAUUUACCUUAUUAGGAAUCUGUUCUUUUUUAAGGCACUACCAUGACAAAUAUUUGGUAUGGAAAGAAAAUUAGGAGGCAUUUAAACGCAUUCUAAAACAUCUUCGUGUUCCAAAACACAGAAUAUCAGGAGCUCGAUUAAUGACAAUGGAAUUCAAAAUCUGACACUUUUUUAAUUAGUUUGAUACAGUAGAAACUGCCAUCUCUAUGCACUUAAGAGUGAAGCCUGCUUCAUAUCACUGGCAGAAUCUUUUAGAAAUCUGUAUCAUAUCAUUGAUUGAAUCUUAAAAUUAGCAACCACAACAAAUUAAUAGGAAACUCACCACCCAUAUUUCCUCAUCAGUAUGCAGUGAUAAGGGGUCAAGAUUGUAUCUUACAGACCCACUAAAGAGAGUUGGUUCUUGCGGAAUGAUCCCAAGACGUGAUCUGAGAUCAUGAAGCCCAAUUGUGGCAAUAUCUAUGCCAUCUAUAAUUAUCUGUCCCUCUGUAGGCUCUACCAAGCGAAACAAAAUGCUGAUAAGUGUUGUCUUUCCACUACCAGUCCGGCCAACGAUCCCAAUUUUCUGUCCUCCUCCAAAUUUGCAACUAAUUCCAUGAAGAACUAGAGGAGCAUUGGGCCGAUACUUGACCUGCUCAAUGUCAUGUCAUCUACUAUAUUAAUCUCUAUAAGUCUUGAAGUUGUAGAACACACACAGAUACUCAAAUUCUUACUGAUUUCACAUUUACCUUCAAAUCAUAAAUUUCCACUUCACCAAUAGUAGGCCAACUGACUGGUGGUCGAUUACUCUCUAUGACUUCAGGGGCUUCGCUAGGAAUAUUCGUGUACUGUUCUAAUCUUUCAACAGAAACAAUCAUAUUUGCUAAAUGGCACUGGUUUUGGACAGAAAACACAAGGAAUACAUUCGCUGAAAGACCAUAAGACAAUGCCAUUCCAAUAAAUCCUGCCAUCAGAACAUUGGCAACGUAAAUGCUCAUUAGACAAUAAUUCCAUAAAUGGUUGUCAAUUACUAAGAUUUCUUUAAAUAUCACAUUGACCAGGUUAUUUUUUAAUAUCAAAUACCGUGCAUGUAGGAAGUUAGUAGAAGGGUUUUUCUUUUGGAUUAUACACUGAUCUGUUUGUAUGAUUAUUGUGUAAGAAUCAUGGACUUGUUAGCUCACUUUGUUCUUGAUAUAACCUGAGUUUCUAGUUAUGAUGUUGAGAAAGUUGGAGCUAAAAUGGGUUGAUUAUAGUGAAUUUUUAUUACUACCAACUGGGCAGCUGUUGUUACGCGAUCUACAAAGCCCUAUCUUGUAUUCAUUUCACUCUACCCAAGGUCAAGUAGGAAACUAUUAUAGUUAACUUUCCUAUUUAAUGUUGGAUAUUUUUAUUGGAUUUUAGGUCAUCACUGAAUUGCCUCUAAUUAUUUCAUCCUUUUGAGGUUCCUUCUUUUCAGUGAGAAAUAUGAAAAUUUAGUGGAGGCCCUCGGUUGCUCAUCUCCUUUUUCAGUUAAAAGCAUAUGCUAGCUAGCAAGCAGUCAUGGCAGGCAACAGAAAAGUUUUUUUUUUUAUCUUAAAGUUCUGGUCCUUUUAGAGAAUUUACUAUUUGUGCCCUUAAUCAUACACUUCAUAUUUAUCAUUUUCCGGCUGUAGAUCUUACCUAUUGAAAAAUCCUAAUGGUAUCCUCUUGUAAGGAUCAAAAUUCACAUGGUCAAUUACUAUUCUAAAAGUUGCAUAGCCCCCUUAGGUUAAACAUGUUAUAAACUUCUAGGGAGUUAAACUGUUGAAAUUGGAGCAAAGAGAGAGUUUUAAGCAACUGCAAUGACAAUGAAGAUUCUGGCAUGGACCUUCUAAUUUCGCGUCCAUUCUCAUUGGUCAAGCCUCUUGAGUAAUUCAAGCUAUCUUGGAUUUCGCCCAGUUUGUUGCAUCAACUAAUGGAUAGUUGAGUAUGCAAAGUUAGGGACAGGAAGGACCUAUAAUUUCGAUGGUGUCUUGACUUUACAGUUUGGUACCCUCAUGGAAUCCUUUGGGAAAGAAAAAGAUACAGAGUACUUUUGGUGUUUUUCUUUUGGAGAUGGAAAGUUUUGUUAUUGGCAUUCACAAAUGGGGUAAAAUUGCAGAUCUCUAGAUGAUAUUGGGCAUGCUAGUUUUGGUAAGGCCAGUGAUGCAGGUGGCUACUAUGAGAUAAAACUUCAAGUUGCUGCAAGUUAAAAAUGCAAUAGGGGGAGGGGAAGGUUGAAUAUAAAAUAGGUGGAAUUCAUAAGAUAGAUCAAAAUAUCACAUAUUAAAUGGUGACUUGUCUUACUAUUAGGCAAAAUGGCUGGAUAGGAUCCUUGUAAUUAAACCAAGGUUGUGAUUCAAAUGGUACUUCUAGGGGAACAAAUUUACGAUUUGAUCUUAGAGAAUUGACAGUUAGAAAUGUUCAAGCAAACUAACAAAUUCAAAUGUAAUAGGGCUGUGUAAACUAGUGAGAAACAAUUGUAUAUUUGAGAUGAAAAACACCUACCAGAUUUAGAAGUACUCGUAUGAAGCAAAGUUAGGGCAAGGCCUGAAGAUGAGAGAACGAUUGCAGAUAGUAUUUCAAGGCGUAGGAUCAACCACUCAUUUGCUGUGAAACUAUAGAAGAAUGGACUUGCAUUCAUGUCAAUGAAGCCCAAAUUCUUUGAAAAGUGUCUAUCUUCCUCCCCGAAAGCUCUAAUUGUCAUAGCUCCAGCAAUGGACUCAGAAAGAUGGCUUGCAACAAAGGACUUAGUCGUGCCAUUGAUUCGCAUCAACUCUUUUCCAGCAGCAAAGUAGUACCUCUGGUUGUUAAAAUGAAAACAGACAUGAUCAAUUGCUGAGAGGCCAAGAGAAGUACAAAAUAUCUUACAAGGAAGACACGCCUAAAUGAGGAGGGAAGCAGCUGCCUCUACUACAUCUAAGAAAACAUCAGACAGCAGUGUAUUACCUGGAUGAGUAUACUUAGAUAAAUUGUUGGUAAAAUGACAAACACAAGUUCCCAGGCAAGAAUAGUCAAUACUCCAAAAUUGGCAUAAGCAUUCAUAGUUGUCCCGACAGCAACAGUAAAUUUGAAGGCCACAUCAAGGUCAACCACACUCAAAUCAGAAGAUACCUACAAAAAGCAAUAAAAAAAAUAAGUGUUUUGUUCUUUGUAGUAAGCAUUUAUUUUAAGCAUCUUACCCGACUGAGUAUCCUUCCCAGAGGUGUUGAGUCAUAAAAGGACAUUGGUGCUCGAAAAAGAGAGCUCAGCAGUGUAGAAAAUAUAGAUUGUGAUGCCCCAAGGCCUAAAAGAACAACAAAAAAAGAACGGAGCAAUAAAAAGAGUGAUAAGCUUAAUCCGAUCCCUGUGUAUACUGUAAUCAGUUUCAAUUGGCUAACACUAGAAUUGUGGAUAUUUGCAGCCAACCAAUAGUUUUGCACCAACUGCUCAACAAUGAAUGUGAUAUGAGAUAGAGUUGCCAAAAAGAAGUACAAGAAUCCCUUGCUGUAUUUCAAGUAUUGUAGGUAAGGCUUGAGACCGGUGUCUCCUGUUUCUCUUUCUUCUUUCUUAAUUAAUUGCUCUCCUGAUGUUUCUCUUAAUUGUUUUUCGGUGUAAAUCUUCUGUAUCUCUCCCUUCUGAAUUUUAGAUUUCUGGGUAGAAUCAUGCUCAGGUUGCCUCUCAGAACGAACUGUGGCAUUGUGUGCAUUGACAAGGUCCUGGAACUCUUGACUAGAGUGCAUCAGUUGCUCAAAGGUAGCAGCUUGCAGGAUCUCCCCUUCGGACAUUAACUGCCAACAGAAUUAGUCAUUUGGACUGCUUGAUUUAAAAGCAUGUGUUACUCAAGGAUUGCCUUCCAGAUGAUGGAAAUUAUUUGUUAAGAAAGGAAAAUGAAGUCAAAUGAGAGUUAAAGAACGAUAUCCAAGAAAGUAACUGUACUAACCAGAACCGAAUCAAAUGCAGGAAGGAAGUCCACCUGGUGGGUCACAAGUAUGACCGUCUUCGUUGAUAGAGCUCCCAUGACAUAUUCCUGGCCACAACUGGCAUUAGCAUUCACUCUGAAAGCAAUAACAUUAGUAGCAUAAUUUCUGAGAAAGGAGAACCAUACAUACAUUAAAUAGACUGGUUGCAGUAUGUGCAUCGACCGCACUAAAUGGAUCAUCCAGGAGAUAUACAUCUGCAUCCUGAUAUAAUGCGCGUGCGAGUUGAACCCGUUGCUUUUGUCCACCACUCAGAUUAACACCUCUUUCUCCUAUUUCAGUGAGAUCACCAAAUGGAAGCAUCUCAAGGUCCUUCACUAGGGCACACUUCUCAAUAGCCUCUCUGUAUCUGUAAGGAUCCAUAGCUGACCCAAACAGAAUAUUUUCUUGUAUGGUCCCUGUUGGAAUCCAAGCUGUCUGAGAGACGUAAGCAAUCUUUCCAUAAACUCGAACCUGGAAAAGAUGGAUCCAGAAUUUGUAUUAAGACUUUAGUUGAGGUAAGUCUCCUAGAACCUUUUAGGGCUCAUGAAGUUGUCUACCUUCCCCAUUUUCCUCCAUGAUGUUAAUAUCUACCAAAUGAAGUGUGUAUAAAUCAGGAAUGAUGCAUUACUUCUUUCAGAUUUUAAGUUUGUUUUCUUUCGUAUUCCUACUUAGGAAACCAUGAAAGAAUGUAAAAAUUCAUGCCAGUUUGUUGUUAUUCAUUCCAGAACAACUGUGCACAAAGUAGCUGUUUAGUAUUUAUUCUAGUCCAUGGAUGAGGAAGAAAUGGAAUUGAAAGGGGUACUUACUAUGCCAUUAAUGUGUGGAACUUCUCCAAGAAUAGCAGCUAAUAGUGUUGAUUUACCUGAGCCAACCUCUCCACAAAUAGCUACCCUUUCCCCAGGCUUAACCACCAAAUUUAUGUUCCUUAGUGUAGCCCUUGUAGAGUUAUCCUCCCAUGAAAUUCUGUUGCUCUUGAUAAAAAUGGAUUCCUCCAGCUCCUUUCCAUCACACAUCUUCCUUACAUGUUUGUUCUGCAGCUCUGGUGCGUCAAGAAACUUUGCAAUCCGAUCUAACGAAACCUUGGCCUCAAUGAAUGCUGUAAUGACAUCAGGGAUUAACCUAAUUGGCUCCUGGGCAAUGCGUAAACUUGCCAUAAAUGUGAAAACAUUGCUAGCAGAGAGAGUAGUUCCAAUAAAGUAGCAUGCCGUGAAAGUAAUGGCUGAUACUACAAUGGGAGAUGACCAAAACAGAAUCAGACUGUACCCUUUCUGUGACAGAACUGACACUAACCACUUGAACUCCUCUUUCCUUAACCUUUCUAUGACAUUCUUGAAAUGAGUCUCCCAAGCGUACAGCUUCAGGCUUUUCAUGUUUGUAAGUGCCUCUGUGAAAGCCUUCAGCCUCUUGUCCUGAGUUCCCAUGAGCAUUUUCUGGUACUUGUGUUGUAACCUUCCCAUGGGAGAGUUUGCAACUACAGUCAAUAUUACUACAAACAGAGCUGCUAUAGUUGCAAGCCCCAACGAAUAGUAAAUAAUAAUCAAUGCCAGACACAACUGGAGGCUUGUUGACCAGAUCUGGUGAAACCAGUACGGGAAUUCACCUAUAUUGUAAGCAUCAAUAAUAACAAAGCUCACGAUCUGAGCAGGGGAAUACAACCCCUUUGCAGUGUUUGAGAGCUUAAGCUGCUUCUGAUAGAUGGCUGCAGAUAGAAACGAUCUCACUUGGAGCCCAAUCAAUCUAGUUCGAAAGAACCACUGCCUCUCUGAUAACGAUUCUAAGCAUUUAGUAAGGAAGAGCCCUCCCGUCAGUGCAUAACCUUCAUACUUAAAAGCUUCUUUGCCUUCAGCAACCAGGAUGAAGGCUCUAAGAAACAGAGGGCCAGUAGAAAGUGUUAGCACCUUCAUCAAUGCAAAGAAGCCAGAAAUCAAAAUCUGUUUCCACUGCCACAAUAAUAUAGUCGACAAAAUGGAAGGAGAGUCAGAUGACUGCUGUUUCUGCUUGUUCUGCUGUUCCAUGAACAUUAAGUAACACAUUUCCGCUCGAUCUUCCCUUCUUAGCUGUGGAAUGUCUUUGUCCUCGAGAGUUUUCUGCUUACCUUUCUUCAUCAACGAAUUCAACCACCAAAAUGACAUUCUACUAAUAAGCCCAGCUUUCUCAAAAGGGGGUAAGCUGGCAUCUGUAUUGAUUUUAUCACCAGCACUGCUUCCUUCACCUGGCAAAGGUCUAUAGAAGGCAGCACCAUCAAAUCCUGAAUCAGUUCCUGCAUAUUUUGGUCCCGUAAAAGUGCAGAACAUCAAUAGAAUCGCUCCAGGAAAAGAUAUAACAUCUAAAAUCACCUUAACUGAUACUGCAUCGCCCACAAUAGCUUCCCAGAAAGAUGUAACACAGGGAAAACCUGCGAUAAAGAAUGCAAGUACUGAACAGAGCCUCAGCCCUGCAUUAUGUAGAAGUUGAUGCCUCUUAAACCUCACAGCUAAACCCAGAAAAAACCAGGUGAAGCCUUGUAAUAAGACCACUAGCCAGCCAUGCAGAGGUAGAAUGGUGUUCUCUUCACUCAGCUUCUCUCCCACAAUCCAGAACCCCAAACCGAGAUAAACCAACCCUAAACUACCAUUAAGAAAGGCAGCAGAAUUUAGCAUUGUGGAAAAGCAUCUAGACUGUUGAGGGGAUAAGAUCUUCAUAGCUGAUGCUUUAUAUAUGAAGAUAAAUAAUAAGUAGAGCAAGACGAUGAUGUCAACAGAAAUGACCAAAAUAUGAUUGAGACAUGAACAUGGACAGACGAUGGCUAGGAACCCAGAACUGCAUAUCUUUCCAAUUUUACUCCAACACCAGGAACUUCCACAGAAAACAGUCCAGAGACUCUCACCCAUGUUGUAUCUUCUUGCCUUCACAAAACUGUAGCUGUAAUAAAGUAAAGAAAACAAAGGGGUUAUUUAUUAGAUUUUUGGUGUUUUAGACUUGGGAAGUAGUACUAAACAUGAGAACCAUCAAUGCAUGCCUAAUAGUUUCAAUUUUCAGUUGAAAUUAAAAGUAAAAUUUAUCAUACAGGACUGAUCUAAACUUAAUUUCACAACCCCAGGUGCCUAAGAUCAGGAGAAAGAAUCCAAGAACAACUGAACUGAGAUUGAAGAGAACUGACUAAAGACAUAGAACACAAGAAAUUGCAGAAAAAAAGUAGGGAGAAUGGGAUCCAAUGGAGAUGAAUCAAACAUGAAAUCAGAAGAAGAUGUGAACAAGUUCAGGAAACUUAUGCAAAACUCCCCAUUUUUCCGUUUGAUUGUUGAGAAAAAUGCUGGAAAGUAAAUGAAAACCUUAAAUCUCAUAACAAGUAGGGGAUGGAGUGGUAGUUUUAAGAUUGCAAAACUUCUUUUCUUUUACCAUGAGUCUCAGUAACCAAACACACAAACAACCCCACUAGAUCUGUUCUCUCAAGCUGAAAGGAUGAACCCAAAAAAUACGAGAACAACAAGAUCAAACACUUACCUUAGGAUACGUUGGACAAUGAUGUCAAACCAAACCAGAUUUUUUUAUUUAAGCUAAAAUUUCAGUCCAAAUUCCAAAUACUGAACAAAGACUUGAGCAUUUAAGGUAGAAAAACAGAACCCAGAAGAGGAAAAUAAUAGAAAAUUAAUAUUCACAAUGCACCGAGUCAGCCCACAAGAAAAUGAAGCGUCAUAUGAAGGACCCAGGAAUUCAAAGCAAUUAAUGAAGAAACAGACAGAAAGAUGGAGCUACUUCAGAGAGUGAAAAGUGAAAACCAUCUUGAACCAAUUAUAGAAAGCACAGAACAUGGUGGUGGACAAAAUAUUAUGCUGAAGAAGUGCUACAAAAUCCAUAUAGGUAAAAAACCUGCAUAGGCCAUCCAGAAUCUCACCAUCCCUCAUCAAAUCUGUCUGUUUUUUCUCCUUUUUUUUCCCUUCUUUUUUAGUGAGCAUAGGUCAUUCAGAAUAUCACUCUGCCUCAUCAAAUCAUGGGUGUUCAUCUCGCCCUCUUCUACACCUCACUGCUCUCUUUCCUUGCAUUAUAUUAAUGUGUUGUUCCACUCAAACGACAAAUCGAGUUGUUCUCAUGCUUCACGAUGUCGUUGUUGAGGGAGAAUAUUAUCAAGUCUCUGUGUAUAUAUUGUUUCUGUCCACUUCUAUGGAAUUGAUUCUCUAGCUAUAUGGUUAGGUUCGACUGAUGGAAUCAUUUCAUUAAUCUCAAAGUCACCCUCAUUCUCUGCUCCAAUGAUUUUAUUUUUAUAUUUUAUAUUAAAAAAUGACAUUCAGACUGACGUGAUCAACAACACCAUCAGAAUUCUCUUAACCCAACCCUGGGCCUACUACCUUAUAAUUUAAGUUUUUAAAACGAUUUUCGAAAAAAUCAUUUUCAAAAAUAAUUUUAUGAUAGUUUUUAAAAUAAAAUUAAGAAUUUGAAUUAUUUUUUAAUCUAUCUUAUAUAUUUUCAAAUAUUUUUUAAAAAUAAUUUUUAUUUAUAAUAUUUUAUUUUUAUUAAUUCUCUGUAUUUAUAUAAAUAUUUCUUAAAACAAUUCAAAAAAAUAAGUAAAAAUAGUUAAAAUAUGUUAUCACAAAAUAUCAAAACAAGUUCUUAAAAAUAUAUUUUUUGUCAAAAAAAUCACUAAUGUUUUUGUGGACCCCGCAUUUUCGGCUCAUGCGUUUCCCACUCGAUGGCGAGCUCGAUUUUUAUUUGAAAAAUGAUUUUUAUUGAUUAAGAAAAUGACUUGGAGUCGCCACUUAUUUUUGUUUUAUUUUUAAAAGGGUAAACAAAAUAAGAAAGAAAAACCCUAAGUGUGACUCUUUAUUUUGGAAAAGACGGUCUACGAAAAAUCGGGUCGAGUUCAGGGGUCAGGUUACUUAUCGGGAAGGUACGGUAAGGACCGUAGCACCCUUCUAAGUCCCUAAAGUCGGGUCUCUACUAAUAAAAUGAAGCAAUCAUGACAAUUGAUGAGGGAAUCAAUGAAUACUUAGAGUGAUCAUGCAUAUGUGAGAAUCUAAACAUGCGUAUAGAAAAUGACCCAAGCGGGUGUGGAUGCGUACCUGGGCAGUGAUCCAUAAAGCGCUAUCAAGAAGUGAAGUUAGCGCACAAUUAAAGAAUAAUUUCGAGCAUGUCAUAGAGCAUAAUAAAAUCGAUCAUGCAUGGCAAUUAAAUCAAACAAACAAUCAAUCAAUCAUGAGGAAAUCACAUGUGUUGGGCCCCCACCAAAACCCGAUUUAUAUUACAUGAAUUAAUCCCAUAAAUUCCAUUAUUCGGAAUUACGAAAAAUUCGUUUCUGCUUAUUAAAGUCAAGAGGAGCAGAAGAUUGUUUGAAAGCCAGAGCGGAAUUAAAACUAUUUGGGAGAAAAUUAGAUUUUUGAAAUUUAUUAGAAAAUUGGAAUCUUGAAGAUCACUAGAAAAUUGGAAUUUAGAAAUUAACUUUAGGAAUUGGAAUUUAGGAAUUAAAUUUUAAAGAAAUUGGAAUGUUGAAAAUUAUUUGAGAGUUUGGAACUAUUAAAUUAUAAAAAUUGGAAACUUGGAAUUCAUUUGAAGGUGAAAUUUUUGAAAAUAAAUAAAUAAAAUGAUGACAAUAAAUAAAUAAAUAAAUAAACAAAUGUGAAAAUUGAAAAUUUAGAAAUUAGAAAUUAAAUUUGAAAAUUGGAAAUCGAAAUUUUGAAGAAUUAUUUAAAAAUGGAAUUUUAAAAAUAAAAUAAUAAUAAUAAUAACAAUAACGAAGAUAGUAAUUAUUAAAUAAAUAAAUAUAAAAAUUGAAAUUUUAGAAAUUGGAAAUUAAAUUUAAAAAAUUAAAAAAAUGAAAUUUCGGAUAUUAGAGUUUUGAAUAUUAAAUUGAGAAAAUGAAGUUUGAAAAAUUAAUUUUAAAAGAAUUCAGAAUUUUAAAAAUUAAAUUUAAAAAUUAAAUUAAGACAUCAACAUAUGAAAGAAUUAAAAAAAAAAAGAAAAAAUUUGAGAUUGGUAGUGGGUUGGUCUUGUCGGUGGUGAUGAUGGAAAUUACAACAUGGAAUGAUGGUUGGCUUUUAUGGAUAAAAAAAAAAAAAAAAAAAACAUUUGACUAAUGAUGAGAACUGGAAAUUGAGACUUUUAAUGGCACUCUCAUAAUAUGCUACUCCCAAAAUCAAAGGCAAACUAAAGUUAGCAUUGAUGGCGUUUUAUGAGAGAGAUAAGUUUCAUGUUCCUGCUGCGCAGACUUGCUGGCAUCCUCUCGUCUCUGCACAGCUCCGCCAAGUACUCCAGCCGAGAUCUUCUUGUCCCUUCACAAAAAUACAUCAGCGUGUUUUCCUUCGCCGAGAACUGUAUGGACCAGCUUCUCCCGUCCAAAGAGGCGGAAAUCCUUGGCUUUGACGGACGACGGCGACGCUGUUUUAUCAGGAUUGGAAACGGAGUCGGACGAUGACGAAUCAUGGCCUUGCAACUCGUUGGUGAUCUUUUCCAGCGAGGAUUCAGAUGCGGCUCUCGAACCUUUGGCGUGUUCAGCCAUUUUUAUCGGACUGGGAUCCGAAACACAGUCCUAUCGUGUCGGCGAAAUGAGAGGGGAAGAUGAUACUUCAGGGACAGAAACAAGAUUCCGAUGAAUGAAAAUGGAGCUGAGAGAGUGGCGACGAUGGAAAGAGAAAUGGGUUCAUAUUAGUGGAAAAAAACAUAUACAGAGUCAAAACCAAACUGCAACCCAUGUCUCUGGUGUCUCAUGAUGGAUAAGACGAAGGCCUUCAUCAGUUUCUCAAGCUGGAUCCAUGGAACAGAGAAAGAACCAACAGCACAAGGGUAUAAACGAACACAUAAAGCAACAAAGACAUCCAGUAGAAUGAUACCCAGAAUAAAAAAAUAUGGUUCACAAUGAACGUACCUGGAGUGCUUCCUGGAGUCGGAUUUGCUCCCCUUCCCCUCAGCUUUCCUGCCCCAGCCCCAAAGAAAUACAUAUAUUUUUUCUCUGCUGGCAGCUUCUUCUCCAAGCUGUCUCUCGCUGCCACCAGCAGCUCGCCUCAUCCCAUCCCAUGGCCGCCCAAAGCAGCUCGUUUCCCGGUGGUCAGAGAAGUAAUCAUAUAAAAAUGGCCAAAAACUCCUCCUCCCCGGUAGGGGGUCUACAGUUUAAUUUUUAAGAAUAGAAAACUAUUUAAAAAAUGAUUUCUAAACAAGCUUUAGCUUUGAAGUUGGUAUCAUUCUAGAAACAUAAGGUUAUGUUUAAUUUUUGAAAAGCAAUAGAGAAAUAAAAAAAAUAUUAAAGAAAAUGAUUUUUUUAAUAUUUGAUUUCAUUACAAAAAAAAUGAAAGAAAAUCAAGUAUAAUUAAAAUUAAUUAAAAAAUUAUUUGUUUUUAAAUUAUUUUAAUCUAUAUAAUGAAGGGAAAUAAAUGAAAUAAAUUUGAAGAAGUAUAUAAAAAUAAUUUAAUAAAUUUAUUUAAAUCUGUUUUUUUUUUCUUCCUUUUUUUUCUUUCCUCUUACUUUUUUAGUUGCAUUUUUUUCUCAAAUUUUUCGGUAAUCAAAUAUAGUUUAAAGGUUAGUAUACAUUAUUAAACAAUUAAUGAAUAACUUAAACUUUUGGUUUAAAUAGAGUGGGUUUAGUUUAAGAAUAUUAACUAUUUGUAAACUUGUUAGUUUUAUUUUUUAUUUUUUAUUUUUUAAAAUUCUUUGCAGUUUCAAAUAUUUCCUAUUGAAGUAAUUUAAUGGGAGUUAAAUAUAUUAUAAAGGAAAACAUUUUCGAAGUUGAAGUCUCUACAUGCAGUGAUAUAAACUAACACUUCAAACACAUUCAUACAUGCUCUACCCUUAAUUAGUCGAAAAUUUAAAGAGACUGAUUAUGUUAUUGAAAUUUUCAAUUUUAAACUUUGAUAUAUAUAAUUAAAUUAACUAUUAUCUUAUUUUUAAUUUUUUUAAUGCUUAAAAAAAAUAUUGAGGAAAAAAAAGAAAAAAAAAUAGAUUUUACAUUAAUAAAUUAUUUUUAUUUGUUUUUUCAAAUUUAUUUAAUUUAUUUAUAUAUAUAAAGAUUAUAUAAUUUUAAAAACUAUAAUGGUAUAUUCAUUUUUAAUUAUAUUUUAUUUAAAAAAAAUCUAUGAUAAAUUAAAUAUAAGUGACUUAUUUUCUUUAAUAUUUUUUCUAUAUUUUUAUGCAACUUAAAUCAUGAUGAAAAAGAAAAAGAAAAAGAAAAAAGAAAUAUUGGUCAUAUUUUAUGCAUGAUAAAGAAAAAUUUCUUUGGGUGUGAUUUAAACUUUAAAAAAAAAACCAAUUUAUUUUCAUGUUGGGUUAUUUGGUUAGAAGGAUGAAAUAAUUCUCAAUUAAAAAUUUUUUUUUUAAUAAAAAUAAUUUUAUCUUUUAAAACUUAUUGGCAGAUUAUCUAAAUAUUGAUCUCAAAAAUGUAUUAUUUUUAAAAUUUUAAAAUUUAAAAUUAUUUCAUCCUUUUAAUCAAUUUAUUUUAAAAAAUUCUCUUUAAUUUGGUUCAAUCUUUUCAAUGGACCUCAACUUUCCAUAUUGGUAGAUACCUUGAGAAAGAUGUCUGCCAAUCAAGGUCAUGAAGCAAGGCAUCCAAAACUCCUUAGCAGAUAGAAUUAUUAUUUUGAAGUUUAAGAAUGAGAAAAUGACAUCAUUUGUAAUUAAUUUUUGGUUUUGUAAGAUUAAGAAUGAGAUUAGAAAAUAUACUUUUGGAUGGAAUAUUAUAAUCGUAUUAAUAUAUUUAGAUUAAAAUAAUUUAUUUAGAUUGAAUAUUUUAUACCUAAUCUCUAAAUGUAGCGAUGGAAUAUACUCAUAUUUGAUUCUAAUAAAGUGAUAGGAAGAAAGAAAACUCGGAAAAAAAUGAUCUUUUAAAAAAAUACAAAAUUAAAUUAAAUUAAUUAAAAUUUAAUAUACUUUUAAAUUAUUUAAUAUUCACAAGACUUUAUUUAAUUUAUGCUCCAAUAAUACACAAAAAUGCAAAUUAAUUAAAAAUCAAAUAACUUAUUUUUUAAAGAAAACGUAAAUUACAAAUUUCAUGAUGUUUCAUUUUACACAAAAAUGAAAGAUUAAAAAUGGUUUCUAAUUUGUCCUUACAAAAAAUGUGACAUUAGGUGGAUUCCUUGAGACAUGGUGGACUGAUUGGUACCUAAGUUAUGAUGAUGUCUUCUCAUACAUUUCUUUUAAACUCAUCAAAUCAUUAAAGGGAAUGUAUCUAAUAAAUUUAAAAAGAAAUUCCUCACUUUUUUUCUUAUUAACAUUUGUUUUAUCUUUCAUUCCUUAUGAAUUCUAAAUUAAUGUUUUCUUUGUUAUAAUUAUUAUGAAUGGACAUCCACAUUAAUUAGUCUUUGACAAUUUAUUUGUGAAAAUGUAUUUAUAGCAAAAAAAACAAAUCAUGCCUAAAAUCAGGUCAAAUUGUUUUAAUUAUUCAAAUUGACUUUUUAAUUAGUAAUAAGAUUAAGUAUACAAGUCUUAUUUGGCUGUUCUAGGAGUAACUAUUGAUGAAUAUUAUGGCAAAUUUUUUUACUAAAGAGAUUUAUUACCAUGAUAUUAAAGAAGGUGAAUAAAUUUUUUUCUUAAAGUCUCAAAGAAUGAAGCAACAAUAGAUCAUGAUCCCAAAAUCUCUAUCAAUUUCUUCCAUCUUUAUAUUUCCAAUUAAAAGCGUAGUAACUUGGUUAUAAUUAGAAUAUCUUUCUAGUUUGUGUUUAACUAACUAAAAAGGAAAAAAUAUUUUUUUGUUAUGCGGUUCAUUUUAUACUAGGAAUUACCUUUAAAGUGUUUUUAUAAAAAUUUAUGAUAAUUUUAGUAUUUUAAAAAAUUUUCAUUGAACAUAAGUCUAGUUUUUCGAUUGUGUUAUAGGAGUUUUAUCUAAUAAGAUCAUGUCUGAUAUGUUUUUUACCGUAAAGAAGUGGAAGUAGAAAUGAUUACUUUUGUUAUAUAAUUGAUUUUAUAUUUAAAACUAUAUUUUAAAAAUAUGUUUAGCAAAUAUAAAAAUAAUUUAUAUUUUUUAAAAAUUAAUUAAAUAAAGCUUUGAUUCUAACAUCAAAGCAUUUACAUUUUCAAAAAAUUGAUGAAAAAUUGAUGAUCAAGAAAUCUAAGAAGAAUUAUCUUUGGUAUUUAAAGGAUGAUUUUAAAGUUCAAAUGACUCCCAAGUGAAACUUGAAUGCAAUCAAAGCCUAUAACACCAUUGGAAAUAUUAUUAUUUCAUUAUUUUAUUUAUAAAAAUUUGCACUCUACUACAAAAUAAUAGAACUAUAUAGUAGUUUUAUUAUAUAUAUGUGACUUGAGUCAUAACUUGGGUUUUGGUAUGACUUAGGUGGAAAUUGUUUUUUUUGGUUUUUUAGUUAAAGUAAUUUGUUUUCAGAAUUUAUGCUGUUUAUUUUUCUAUUUUUUCAUAAUUUAUUAUAAAUUUUUUACUAAAUAAAAAAAGUCAAAAUAUAUUACUUUUUUUAAAUAGAAAAAAUAACAUAUUUGAAAAUGUGAAUCUCAAUAAUGAACUACACCUAGAGGGGGGUGAAUAGGUGUUGUAGAACAAUUUAAAAAUUCUCUCAACAAAGAUUACCUAACCUUAGACUAUCUUAAUGUCAAGAAUUUUUUUCUUCCAAUAACUUUUCAACAAAGCAAAACAUCCACAAGCAAUAAUGUAUACAUCAACACUCUCCCAACAAUUUAUCAAUGUAAAACACAUGCAAAUGCUUCAACACUCCUAAAAAAUAAAUCAAAAUAUAGAGUGAGAGAAAGAGACAAUGAACACCGGAUUUUUAACGUGGAAAACUUCCGAAGAGAUCAAAAACCACGGGCCUAUCACCGAUUGAAAACUCCACUAUGAAGAAUAAAAACUGAGUACAAGGUUUUACCUAACUCAAGCCAAUCAAUCCUUCCCGGAAUACUUGACUAGUACCUUCAUUUUCAGCUUCUCCUGUUGGAGCACACUUGGAGUCCGCACCAAGCUCAAUCUCGGCCUCUUCUUGAAUCCACACAAGAAGAAAAUGGGUUUUUACAUAAACCCAAAUAGAAUGAGAGAUUGAGAUGUGAAUGAAGGAAUGAAUCAACCCAUUUAUUGCUCAAGAAAAUCCAUUGAAAACUAGUUUGGAAAAUAUUAAGAGAAGUGGAUUUUCUUUGCAAUCAAAAACCCUAAAUUAGGAAAGCAAAAAUGAGAAAAUGAAGAACACUUGGAGUGUGGCUGCUCUCCCCACGUUUUCUGCAGUCUCUCUUACCAGAAAAUGAGAGAAGAUUGGUUUUUAAAGUGUAAAAAGAAACCCUUAAUCUAAUGGCUGAGAUUUGAUCAAAAAAACAUUAGUUGGAUAGAUCCACCCCUACACUUGGAUCGAUCCAGAAACAGAAGAAUGAAAGCUUUGCACCAAAAACCAUUUUUCUCAACUUUCUAACACAUUUAAAGAUUAAAAACCGGGUUGAUUCACACUCAAUCACUCCACACUUGACUACAUAUCUCGGCCUCUUAGCAAAGUCUUAGUUUUCAAAGUCAAGUAGUACAAAUAGGAAUAGGAAAGCCGAGUUAGGGGACACUUAGGAAUUUUGUCCGGAAUUGCCAACCUAGCUAAACACUCACAAUAUUGAUUUUUUUUUUUAAUACUUAAUAGAAAUAAAAUAUUAUAAAAACAAACAACCUAAUAUUUAAUACUAUUAAACAUUAAGUACCUAUUUAGAAUUAAGUAAAAAAACAAACACCACCUUAACCAUAGUAUCAUUUGGGCUUCCAUGACUACCCUGUAGCAACUGGACAAUAGAUGCUAUGGUCCAUGACUACUCUUUAACAAGAGACUUCCGAUAAAACAGGACCUAAAAAACCAUAACAAUCCAGCUCAUCAUGCAGCAACCUGACCAAAGAGCCGCUUGCGAAGCUGCAGUGGGAAGAAAACAAGAAAAUGGUUAAAGAAGAAUGGCCACACAUGGAUAAACUAAGGCUAUCAUUCACCAUCAAAUUUGAGAGACACAUGCCCAUAUAAGAUGAAUGCAGCAGAUAAUCUAAAGAUGAAAUAUCCAAUUGACUGAUAAUUGGGUAUAUAAACCAAUUAACUGGGAAAAAAAAAUGAACUUAAGAAGGAUGAAUACCCCUGGAAGUUUUUUUAUGAAAUACAACAUCCAAUCUUGCAUCAAGGGUGUUCUCCCAUAAAAUUUUUCUACCAGAGGGAUUUUCCAUCACUUUUCUUUCAACAAAAGCUGUUUCAUCCAUGUUUAUAUAUUUCCCACAACCAGUCCGAUAUAAAGAGUAAAAGAUGCAUGAGUUAUAUAUUAUUUUUUUGAAAAUGAAAGAUCAGCCAGCAGUCUCACAGAAAGAGUACAUUUGUACCUUUACAAACCUUUCCACUACAUAACAACUGUUAGUAAGCAAAACAGACCAUAUGCCCACAAAAAAUGGGAGGAUCAAAGUUUACGCUUCUGCCAGUGAUCCAUUUCCAAUACCUCAAGUUAGUGUUUAAGUCCAUGAUCUAGGUUUCUUUCUUUUUUCUUUUUUUAUUUAUUUUCCUUUUUUUUUAAGGUAAUAAAAAGAGAACACCCUGGUCUGCUCAACCUGUUUGGGCAAAGUAAAAUUUGGGCAAAUUAGCUGAGUUUAUAUUGACCUGAACCACAAGAUCUUUGAGAAGCCUUUUAUAGACAUGGUGAUCAUGUCCAGAGACGAUGUUUUAAAAUGCAAUUCAUUAUUGCAUAUUGAUACUAUCCAGUAGGUAGAAGUAGAACCGUAGAACAACUCAUAACUGCAAAAGCAUACCAUUAGCCUUCAAAGCCUGUUUAAGUUUCAGAGCCAAUCUCCUGAGGCGUUACUGCCAUUUGAAGAUCGAGACCAGUACUCCGUGACAAGCUGCCCAAACAGCGAUCCCUCCUUCUUUAUCAGUUUCAUUGGCACAUCGUACUCUACUAAUUUUCCUACGGAAGCAAAAGCACUAGUUAUUUGAAUUUGUUUUACCAUAUUGAUCCCAACUAGAAUGAAAUGUUCCUUCGUAGAAACUCACCGUCACUGAUAGCAAGCACCAUUGUGCAGUCCAUCACGGUUGGGAUUCUGUGGGCUACUGUAAUUACAGUGCAGUCUGCAAAUUCUGUUCUUAUGGUCUUCUGGAGAAUGGAGUCUGUUGCAUUGUCUAUAGAUGCAGUGGCUUCAUCAAGCACUAGUAUCCGACUUCUCUUCAGUAGGGCACGUCCCAAGCAGAAUAAUUGUCGCUGGCCCAUGCUCCAAUUUGAUCCGUCAUGUACAACUGUAGGGCAGACAGAUUGUUAGCAAGAGUUUUUGAAUCCAAAGAAUGGUACCAGUGUGUUUUAUGUUUCAUACCUAAGGAGUCCAGGCCCUCUUCUUUCUCUUGAACAGCCCCUCGAAGUUGACAUUUUCCCAGAACCUUUCACACAUUCAUGAGAAACAAUCUUAGUGUAGGAUAUAAAGUAAAUUUACCUUAUUAGGAAUCUGUACUUUUUGAAGGGACUACCACGACAAAUAUUUGGUAUGGAAAGAAAAUUAGGAGGUAUUUAAUAGCACUCUAAAACAUCAUUGUGUUCCAAAACACAGAAUAUCAGGAGCUCGAUCAAUGACAAUGGAAUUCAAAAUCUGACAGCGUUUAAUUAGUUUGUUAGUGUAGAAACUGCAAUGUCUAUGCACUUAAGAGUGAAGCCUGCUUCAUAUCACUGGCAGAAUCUUUUGGAGAUCUGUAACAUAUCAUGAUUGAAUCCUAAAAUUAGCAACCACAACAAAUUAAUAGGAAACUAACCUCCCAUAUUUCCUCAUCAGUAUGCAGCGAUAAAGGGUCAAGAUUGUAUCUUAUAGACCCGCUAAACAGAGUUGGUUCUUGUGGAAUGAUCCCAAGACGUGAUCUGAGAUCAUGAAGCCCAAUUGUGGAAAUAUUUAUGCCAUCUAUAAUUAUCUGUCCCUCUGUAGGCUCUACCAAGCGAAACAAAGCGCUGAUAAGAGUUGUCUUUCCACUACCAGUCCGGCCAACGAUCCCAAUUUUCUGUCCUCCUCCAAAUUUGCAACUGAUUCCUUGAAGAACUAGAGGAGCAUUGGGCCGAUACUUGACCUGCUCAAUGUCAUUUCAUCUACUAUAUUAAUCUCUAUAAAUCUUGAAGUUGUAGAACAGAAACAGAUACCCAAAUUCUUACUGAUUUCACCAUACCUUCAAAUCAUAAAUUUCCACUUCACCAAUAGUAGGCCAACUGGGUGGCGGUCGAUUACUCCCUAUGACUUCAGGGGCUUCGCUAGGAAUAUUCAUGUACUGUUCUAAUCUUUCAACAGAAACAAUCAUAUUUGCUAAAAGGCACUGGCUUUGGGCAGAAAAUACGAAGAAUACAUUCACUGAAAGGCCAUACGAUAAUGCCAUUCCAAUAAAUCCUGCCAUCAGAACAUUGACGACGAAAAUGCUCAUUAGACAAUAAUACCAUAAAUGGUUGUCAAUUACUAAGAUUUCUUUAAAUAUCACAUUGACCAAGCUGUUUUUGAAUAUCAAAUACUGUGCACGUAGGAAGUUAGUAGAAGGGUUUUUCUUUUGGAUUAUGCACUGAUCUGUUUGUAUGAUUAUUGUGUAAGAAUCAUGGACUUGUUAGCUCACUUUGUUCUUGAUAUAACCCAAGUUUCUAGUUAUGAUGUUGAGAAAGUUGGAGCUAAAAUGGGUUUAUUAUAGUGAUUUUUUAUUACUACCAACUGGGCAGCUGUUGUUUCAUGAUCUACAAAGCCCUAUCUUGUAUUCAUUUCACUCCACUCAUCAAGGUCAAGUAGGAAACUAAGAUAGGUAACUUUCCUAUUUAAUGUUGGAUAUUUUAUUGGAUUUUAGGUCAUUACUGAAGUGCCUCUAAAUAUUUCAUUCUCCUGAAGUUCCUUCUUUUCAGUGAGAAAUAUGAAAAUUUAGUGGAGACCCUGGGUUGUAGAUCUCUUUCUUUUACAGUUAAAAACAUAUGCUAUCUAGCAAGCAGUCAUAGCAGGCAACAGAAAAGCAGUUUUUGUCUUGAGGUUUUGAUCCUUUUGGAGAAUUUACCAUUUGUGGCCAUAAUCAGACACUUCAUAUUUAUCAUUUUCUGGUUGUAGAUCUUACCUACUGAAAAAUCCUAAUGGUAUCCUCUUGUAAGGAUCAAAAUUCACAUGAUCAAUUACUAUUCUCAAAGUUGCACAGGCCCCCUUAGGUUAAACAUGUUAUAAACUUCUAGGGAGUUAAAACUGUUGAAAUUAGACCAAAGAGAGUUUUAAGCAACUGCAAGGACAAUUGAAGGAUCUGGCAUGGACCUUCUAAUUUUGUGUCCAUUCUCAUUGGUCAUAUAGUUAGCCUCGUGAGUAAAUUCAAACUAUCUUGGAUUUUGCCUAGUUUGUUGUAUCAACUAAUGGAUAGUUGAGCAUGCAGGGUUAGGUACAGGAAGGACCUGUAAUUUCGGUAGUGUCUUUAGUUUGUAGUUUAGUACCCUUAUGGAAUCCUCUAGGAAAGAAAGAGAUAAGAGUAUUUUUGGUUUUUUUUUCUUUUGGAGACGGAAGGUUUUGUUAUUAGCAUCCACAAAUGGGGUAAAAUGGCAGAUCUCUAGCUGAUAUUGGGCAUGCUAGUUCAGGUCAUUAGGCCAGUGAUCCGGGUGGCUCCUAUGAGAUAAAUCUUCAAGUUGCUGCAAGUUAAAAAUGCAAUAGGGUGAUGGAAAGGCUGAAUGUAACAUGGGUGGAAUUCAUAAAAAAGAUAAAAAUCUCAAUAUUGAAUGGUGACUUGUCUUACUAUCAAGCCAAAUGGCUGGAAAGGAUCAUUGUAAUUAAACCAAGGUUGUGAUCAAAUGGUACUUGUAGAGGAACGAAUUUACGAUUUCAUCUUAGAGAAUUGAUAGUUAGGAGUGUUCAAGCAAACUAACAAAUUCAAAUGUAAUCGAGCUGUAUAAACUAGUGCCAAAAACACCUACCAGAUUUAGAAGAACUCGUAUGAAGCAAUGUUAGGGCAAGGGCUGAAGAUGAGAGAACGAUAGCACAUAGUAUUUCAAGGCGUUGGAUCAACCACUCAUUUGCUGUGAAACUGUAGAAGAAUGGACUUGCAUUUAUGUCAAUGAAGUCCAAAUUCUUUGAAAAGUGUCUAUCUUCCUCCCCGAAAGCUCUAAUUGUCAUAGCACCGGCAAUGGACUCAGCAAGAUGGCUUGCAACAAAGGACUUCGUCGUGCCAUUGAUUCGCAUCAAUUCUUUUCCAGCAGCAAAGUAGUACCUCUGGUUGUUAAAAUGAAAACAAACAUGAUCAAUUGCUGAGAAGCCAAGAGAAGUACAAAAUAUCUUACAGGGAACACACGCCUAAAUGAGGAGGGAAGCAGCUGCCUCUACUACAUCUAUGAAAACAUGAGACAGCAGUGUAUUACCUGGAUGAGUAUACUAAGAUAAAUUGUUGGUAAAAUGACAAACACAAGUUCCCAGGCAAGAAUAGCCAAUACUCCAAAACUGGCAUAAGUAGUCACAGCUGCCCCAAUAGCAAAAGUAAAUUUGAAGGCCAUAUCAAGGUCAACCACACUUAAAUCAGAAGAUACCUACAAAACGACAAUAAAAAAAUAAGUCUUCUGUUGUUUGUAAUAUGCAUAUAUUUUAAGCAUCUUACCCGACUGAGUAUCCUUCCCAGAGGUGUCGAGUCAUAAAAGGACAUUGGUGCUCGAAAAAGGGAGCUCAGCAGUGUAGAAAAAAUAGAUUGCGAUGCCCCAAGGCCUACAACAACAACAAAAAAUGAUCGGAGCAACAAAAAUAUUGAUAAGCUUAAUCCAAUCCCUGUGUAUACUGCAAUCAGUUUCAAUUGGCUAACACUAGGAUUCUGGACAUUUGCAGCCAACCAAUAGUUUUGCACCAACUGCGCAACAAUGAAUAUGAUAUGAGAUAGAUUUGCCAAAAAGAAGUAGAACAAUCCCUUGCUAUAUUUCAAGUAUUGUAGGUAAGGCUUCAGACCAGUGUCUCCCGUUUCUCUUUCUUCUUUCUUAAUUAACUGUUCUCCUAAUGAAUCUCUUAACUGUUUUUCGCUGUCAAUCUUUUGUAUCUCUCCCUUCGGAAUUUUAGACUUCUGGGUAGAAUCAUGCUCAGGUUGCCUCUCAGAACCAACUGUGGCAUUGUGUGCAAUGAUAAGGUCCUGGAACUCUUGACUAGAGUGCAUCAGCUGGUCAAAGGUAGCAGCUUGCAGGAUCUCCCCUUCGGACAUUAACUGCCAAUAAAAUUAGUCAUUUGAACUGUUUGAUUUAAAAGCAUCUGUUACUCAAAGAUUGCCUUCCAGAUUUAGAGAUUAUUUGUUAAGAAAGGAAAAUGAAGUCAAAUCAGAGUUAAAGAAGGAUAUCCAAGAAAGUAACUGUACUGACCAAAACCGAAUCGAAUGCAGGGAGGAAGUCCACUUGGUGGGUCACAAGUAUGACUGUCUUCAUUGAUAGAGCUCCCAUGACAUAUUCCUGGCCACAACAGGCAUUAGCGUUCACUCUGAAAGCAUAGCAUAAUUUCUGACAAAGGAGAACUGUACUUACAUUAAAUAGAUUGGUUGCAGUAUGUGCAUCAACCGCACUAAAUGGAUCAUCCAGGAGAUAUACAUCUGCAUCCCGAUAUAAAGCACGUGCAAGUUGAACCCGCUGUUUCUGUCCACCACUCAGAUUAACACCUCUUUCUCCUAUUUCAGUGAGAUCACCGAAUGGAAGCAUCUCAAGGUCCUUCACUAGGGCACACUUCUCAAUAGCCUCUCUGUAUCUGUAAGGAUCCAUAGCAGACCCAAACAGAAUAUUUUCUUGUAUUGUCCCUGUUGGAAUCCAUGCUGUCUGAGAGACGUAAGCAAUCUUCCCAUAAACUCGAACCUGGAAAAGAUGGAUCCAGAAUCUGUAUUAAGACAUUUGUCUAAGUAAGUCUCCUAGAACCUUUUAGGACUCAUGAAGUUUUCUACCUUCCCUGUUUUCUUCCAUGAUGUUAAUAUCUACCAAAUGAAGUGUGUAUAAAUCAGGAAUGAUGCAUUACUUCUUCAGUUUUUAAGUUUGUUUUCUUUUGUAUUCCUACUUAGGAAACCAUGAAAGAAUAUAAAAAUUCUCUGCCGCUUUGUUGUAAUUCAUCUCAGAACAACUGUGCACAAAGUAGCUGUUGAGUAUUUAUUCUAGUCCCAUGGAUGAGGAAGAAAAUGGAAUUGAAAGGGGUACUUACUAUGCCAUUAACGUGUGGAACUUCUCCAAGAAUAGCAGCUAAUAGUGUCGAUUUACCUGAGCCAACCUCUCCACAAAUAGCUACCUUUUCCCCAGGCUUAACCACCAAAUUUAUGUUUCGUAGAGUAGCCCUUGUAGAGUUAUCCUCCCAUGAAAUUCUUUUGCUCUUGAUAAAAACGGAUUCUGCGAGCUCCAUCCCAUCACACAUCUUCCUUACAUGUUUGUUCUGCAGCUCUGGUGCAUCAAGAAACUUUGCAAUCCGAUCUAACGAAACCAUGGCCUCAAUGAAUGCUGAAAUGACAUCAGGGAUUAACCUAAUUGGCUCCUGGGCAAUGCACAAACUUGCCAUAAAUGUGAAAACAUUGCUAGCAGAGAGAGUAGUUCCAAGAAAGUAGCAUGCCCAGAAAGUAACAGCUGAUACUACAAUGGGAGAUGACCAAAACAGAAUCAGAUUGUACCCUUUCUGUGACAGAACUGACAAUAACCACUUGAAUUCCUCUUUCCUUAACCGUUCUAUGACAUUCUUGAAAUGAGUCUCCCAAGCAUACAGCUUCAGACUUUUCAUGUUUGUAAGUGCCUCUGCAAAAGCCUUCAGCCUCUUGUCCUGUGUUCCCAUGAGCAUUUUCUGGUACUUAUGUUGUAACCUUCCCAUAGGAGAGUUUGCAACAACAGUCAAUAUUACUACAAACAGAGCUGCUAUAGUUGCAAGCCCCACCGAAUAGUAAAUAAUAAUCAAUGCCAGACACAACUGGACGCUUGUUGACCAGAUCUGGUGAAACCAGUACGGGUAUUCACCUAUGUUGUAAGCAUCAAUAGUAACAAAGUUUAUGAUCUGACCAGGGGAAUAUGACCCCUUUGCAGCAUUUGAGAGCUUAAGCUGCUUCUGAUAGAUGGCUGCAGAUAGAAACGAUCUCACUUGGAGCCCAAUCAAUCUAGUUCGAAAGAACCAUUGCCUCUCUGAUAACGAUUCUAAGCAUUUAAUAAGAAAGAGCCCUCCUGUCAGUGCAUAACCUUCGUACUUAAAAGCUUCUCUGCCUUCAGCAACCAGGAUGAAGGCUCUAAGAAACAGAGGGCCAGUAGAAAGUGUUAGCACCUUCAUCAAUGCAAAGAAGCCAGAAAUCAAAAUCUGUUUCCGUUGCCACAACAAUAUAGUCGACAAAAUGGAAGGGGAGUCAGAUGACUGCUUUUUCUGCUUGUUCUGCUGUUCCAUGAACAUUAAGUAACACAUUUCCGCUCGAUCUUCCCUUCUUAGCUGUGGAAUGUCUUUGUCCUCGAGAGUUUUCUGCUUACCUUUCUUCAUCAACGAAUUCAACCACCAAAAUGACAGUCUACUAAUAAGCCCAGCUUUCUCAAAAGGAGGUAAGCUGGCAUCUGUAUUGAUUUUAUCACCACCACUGCCUCCUUCGCCUGGCAAAGGUGUAUAGAAGGCAGCACCAUCAAAUCCUGAAUCAGUUCCUGCAUAUUUUGGUUCCGAGAAAGUGCAGAACAUCAAUAGAAUCGCUCCAGGAAAAGAUAUAACAUCUAAAAUCACCUUAACUGAUACUGCAUCGCCCACAAUAGCUUCCCAGAAAGAUGUAACACAGGUAAAACCUGCAAUAGAGAAUGCAAGUACUGAACAGAGCCUCAGCCCUGCAUUAUGUAGAAGUUGAUGCCUCUUAAACCUCACAGCUAAACCCAGAAAAAACCAGGUGAAGCCUUGUAAUAAAACCACUAGCCACCCAUGCAGAGGUAGAAUGGUGUUCUCUUUAGUCAGCUUCUCUCCCACAAUCCAGAACCCCAAACCCAGAUAAACCAACCCUAAACUUCCAUUAAGAAAGACAGCAGAAUUUAGCAUUGUGGAAAAGCAUAUAGACUGUUGAGGGGAUAAGAUCUUCACAGCUGGUGCUUUAUAUAUGAAGAUAAAUAAUAAGUAGAACAAGAGGAUGAUGUCAACAGAAAUGACCAAAAUAUGGUUGAGACAUGAACAUGGACAGAUGAUGGCUAGGAACCCAGAACUGCAUAUCUUUCCAAUUUUACUCCAACACCAGGAACUUCCACAGAAAACAGUCCAGAGAGUCUCACCCAUGUUGUAUCUUCUUGCCUUCACAAAACUGUAGCUGUAAUAAAGUAAAGAAAACAAAGGGUUAUUUAUUAGAUUUUUGGUGUUUUAAACUUGGAAGUAGUACUGAACAUGAGAACCAUCAAUGCAUGCCUAAUAGUUUCAAUUUUCUGUGGAACUUAAAAGUUAAAUUAUCAUACAGGACUGAUCUAAACUUAAUUUCACGGCCCCAGGUACCUAAGAUCGGGAGAAACAAUCCAAGAACAACUGAACUGACCAUAGACAUAGAACAUGAGAAAUUGCAGAAAACGAGUAGGGAGAAUGGGAUCCAAUGGAGAUGACUGAAACAUGAAAGCAGAAGACGAUGUGAACAAGAUUCAGGAAACUUAUGCAAAACCCCCCAUUUCUCUGUUUGAUUGUUGAGAAAAAUGCUGGAAAGUAAAUGAAAACCUUAAAUCUCAUAAGAAGUUGGGGAUGGAGUGUGCAGUUUUAAGAUUGAAAAUCUUCUUUUCUUUUACCAUGAGUCUCAGUAACCAAACACGCUAACAACCCCACUAGGUCUGUUCUCUCAAGCUGAAAGGAUGAGCACAAAAAAAAAAAAACAAGAACAACAAGAUCAAACACUUACCUUAUGAUACGUACGUUAGAUAAUGAUGUCAAACCACAACAAGAUCCAACACUUACCUUAUGAUACGUUAGACAAUGAUGUCAAACCAAACCAGAUUUUUUUAAGCUAAAAUUUCAAUCCAAAUUCCAAAUACUGAAAAAAGACUUGAGCAUUUAAGGUAGAAAAACAGAACCCAGAAGAAGAAAAUAGUAGAAAAUUAAUAUUCACAAUGAACCGAGUCAGCCCACAAAAAAAGGAAAAAAAAAAAGAAAAAAAAAGCGUCAUAUGAAGGACCCAAGAAUUUAAAGCAAUUAAUGAAGAAACAAACAGAAAGAUGGAGCUACUUCAGAGAGUGAAAAGUGAAAACCGCCUUGAACCAAUUAUAGAAAGCACAGAACAUGGGGGUAGAGAAAAUAUUAUGCUGAAGAAGUGCUACAAAAAAGACUUGAGCGUUUAAGGUAGAAAAACAGAACCCAGAAGAAGAAAAUAGUAGAAAAUUAAUAAUCACAAUGCACCGAGUCAGCCCACAAAAAAAAAAAAAAAAAAAAAAGCUUCAUAUUGAUUUUGUAGCACUUCUUCAGCAUAAUAUUUUCUCUACCCCCAUGUUCUGUGCUUUCUAUAAUUGGUUCAAGGCGGUUUUCACUUUUCACUCUCUGAAGUAGCUCCAUCUUUCUGUUUGUUUCUUCAUUAAUUGCUUUNNNNNNNNNNNNNNNNNNNNNNNNNNNNNNNNNNNNNNNNNNNNNNNNNNNNNNNNNNNNNNNNNNNNNNNNNNNNNNNNNNNNNNNNNNNNNNNNNNNNUCUCCACCCCCAUGUUCUGUGCUUUCUAUAAUUGGUUCAAGAUGGUUUUCACUUUUCAGUCUCUGAAGUAGCUCCAUCUCUCUCCAUCUUUUCCAUCUUUCUGUUUGAGAAACAAACAGAAAGAUGGAAAAGAUGGAGAGAGAUGGAGCUACUUCAGAGACUGAAAAGUGAAAACCAUCUUGAACCAAUUAUAGAAAGCACAGAACAUGGGGGUGGAGAAAAUAUUAUGCUGAAGAAGUGCUACAAAAUCCAUAUAGGUAAAAACCUGCAUGGGUCAUCCAGAAUCUCACCCUCCCUCAUCAAAUCAGUCUCUUUUUUUUCCUUCUUUUUUAGUGAGCAUAGGUCAUUCAGAAUCUCACUCUGCCUCAUCAAAUCAUGGGUGUUCUUCUCACCCUCUUCUACACCUCACUGCUCUCUUUCCUUGCAUUAUAUUAAUGUGUUGUUCGACUCAAACGACUAAUCGAGUUGUUCUCAUGCUUCACGAUGUCGCUGUUGAGGGAGAAGAUUAUCAAGUGUCUGUAUAUAUAGUUUUUCUGUCCAAUAUAAUAUUUCUAUGGUAUAGAUUCUCUAGCUAUAUGUGUAGAUUCGACUGAUGGCAUCAUUUCAUAAAGCUCAAGUAAUCCUCAGUUUGUGUGCCAAUGAUUUUGUUUUUUUAUUUUAUAUUAAAAUAUGGCAUUGUGACUUCCACUGACGAAGUCUCUUAACUCAACCCUAGGCCUACCACCUAAUAAUUUAAGUUUUUAAAACGAUUUUCCAAAAAAUCAUUUUCAAAAAUAUUUUUAUGAUAGUUUCUAAAAUAAAAUUAAGAAUCUGAAUUAUUUUUUAACCUUUCUUUUAUAUCUUCAAAUAUUUUUUUUAAAUAAUUUUUAUUUCUAAUAAUUUAUUUUUAAUCAUUCUCUGUGUUUAUAUAAAUAUUUCUUAAAACAAUUUCUAAAAAUAAUUAAAAAUAAUUAAAAUAUAUUAUCACAAAAUGUAAAAACAAGUUUUUAAAAGAAUAUUUUUUUGUUAAAAAAAUCACUAAUGUUUUAUUUUUAAGAAUUAAAAAAUAAUUUUUAAACAAGCUUUAAGUUUUCAAUUUGGUAUCAAUCAUGCUUGGUUCUUAAAAAAUACUAAGAAAAAAAAUGUUAAGAAAAAUGAUUUUUUUUUUUUCAUAUUUGAUUUUAUUACAAAAAAAUAAGAAAGAAAAUAAAAUAUAAUUAAAAUUAGUUAAAAAUUAAUUUUUUUUAAAUUUAAUAUUUAUAUAAUGAAUAAAAAUAAAUGAAUUAAAUUUUAAAAAAGUAUAUUAAAAUAGUUUACUAAAUUUAUUUUUAUUUUUUAUUUUUCUUCACUAUUUCUUUCUUUCAACUUUUCCUCUCAAAUUUUUCAGAACCAAACAUACCCUAAAGGUUAGCAUACAUUAUUAAACAAUUAAUGAAUAACUUAAACUUUUGGUUUAAAUAGAGUCCUAGCAUUAUUUAGUAGGGUUUAGAUUAAGAAUAUUGAGUAUUUGUAAACUUGUUAGUUUUAUUGAAAAAAAAAAUGAUUUUCUUGGAAGUUUCAAACAUUUCUUAUUGAAGUAAUUUAAUGGUAGCUGAAUAUAUAGAGGGAAACAUUUUCUAAGAUGAAGUCUCUACAUGUGAUGAUAUAAAUAGAUCAACACUUCAAACACAUGCACACAUGCUCUGCCCUUUAUUAGUAGAAAAUUUUAAGAUACUUAUUGAGUAUCUUAUUGAAACUUUCAAUUUUAAACCUUAUAUAUAUAUAUAUAUAGAUAUAUAUAUAUAAUUAACUCUUAUCUUAUGUUUAAUUCUUAAAAAAAGUGAGAAAGUUUUGAGGAAAAAUGAAAAAAAAAUUAUAAAUUAAUAAAUUAUUUUUAUUUAUUUCUUCGAAUUCAUUUAAUUUAUUUUUUAUAUAUGAAGAAUUAUAUAAUUUAAAAAAUAUCAUGGUCUAUUUAUUUUAGUUAUAUUUAAAUUUUUAAAAUUUCUAUGAUAAAUUAAAUACAAGUAAAUUAUUUUCUCUAAUUUUUUUUUUUCUAUAUUUUUAUGCAACCUAAAUCAUGAUGAAAAAGAAAAAGGAAAAAGAAAGAAAGAGGGGACCUAAAUAUGUUAAAUAAUAACAAUAAUAAUAAUAUUAAUAAUAAUAAAAACACACACACACUGAUUUCCCUCUUGCCACCUGAUUUACUAUUACAUAUUCACCUUAGAAAUUUUUUUGAAAUAACUUUUUUAGUGAUAGAGCUUUUCCUUUGUCUUUUUUACACAUUCAAGUUAGAAAAUUCACUCUUUUUUAAUAGCAAAGGUGACUUCCAAUGAUAUAAUUUUUAAUUUAAAAAAAAACAUUCAUUUUUAAUAAAGAUAUCUUUGUCUUUUGAAAGGUAUUGAUGUGAAAAAUAUGUUAUUUUUUAAAUUAUAAAUUUGGAAUCAUGCCAUUGAUUGCAUCUUUUCAUUAAUGGACCUCAACUUUCCAUAUUGAUAGAUACGUUCAGAAAGAGCCAUGCCUCCUAUGUCUGCCACUCAAGGUCAUGAUGCAAAGCAUCCAAAAUUCCUUGGCAGAUAGUAUUAUUAUUUGGAAGUUGGUGGUCGUCUAGUUGUUUUGAUUAAGAAAUAUUCGGUUGACCCAAUAAAUUUUUGGGUAGUUGUAGGGUGUUUUUGUUAGGCAUAGUUUGGGUAUUUGUGUAAACUGUUUAUGUACAGCCCCUUUUGCUCUUGCUUCUCGUUUUUGGCUCCAAUGGAAAACUUAAGAUAAAGCAAAACUCACAAUUUCUAAAAGGUAAUAUUGGUAUUAUAUAAGCCAUAUCAAACAUAAAAGAAUUUUUUGUACAAGUUAAAAUAGAAGUUUAGAAAAAAAAAAAAGCUAUAUUUUCCUAACUUGAUUUUUAUUUUUAUUUUUUGCAAUAUUUACUACCACAUAUAUAAGGUUUGGUUCGAGAAAAUGACAUCAUUUAUAAUUAAUAUUUGGUUUUGUAAGAUUAAGAAUGAGAUUAGAAAAUAUACUUUUAGAUGCAUGGAUAUUAUAAUCCUAUGAGUAUAUUUAGUGUAUUCAUGGAAGUGAGAUUUUUAUAUUUAAUUUUCAAGGAUUAGGAACACUAUUAAAAUAACUUAUUUAGAUUGAAUAAUUUAUACCUAAUCUCUAAAUGUAGCAAUGGAAUUUACUGAUUUGAUUAUAAUAAAGUGUUGGGAAGAGAGAAAAUUGAUAUUGGGAAAAAUAUUUUUUUUAAUACGAAAGUAAAUUAAAUAUAAUUUAUAUUAAUUAAAAUUUUAUAUAUUUUAAAUUUGUUUAAUCUUUACAAGACCAUCGGCAAAGAACAAUUCUUAAACGGAUGCUCCAAUAAUACACAAUAAUGCAAGUUAAUUAAAAAUCAAAUAAUUUUUUUAAAAGAAAAUGUAAAUUACAAAUUUCAUGAUGUUUCCUUUUGCACAAAAAUGAAAGAUUAAAAAUGGUUUCUAAUUUGUCCUUGUCAUAAAAUAUCUUUUAUGUGUGUUCCUUGAGACAUAUUGAAUUGAUCAAUAUCCAAGUUAUUAUGACGUCUUCUUAUGCAUUUCUUUCGAACUUAUCAAAUUAUUAGAAGGAAUGUAUCUAAUAAAUUUUAAAUUUUUCUUCACUUUUUGUAUCCUUGUUAUUUUCUUAUUAACAUUUGUUUAAUCCUUUCACUUCUUACUUUCUUCAUCAUAAUUAUAGUGAAUUUUGAAUUGAUAUUUUCUUUAUCAAAAUUAUUGUGAAUUGAUAUUUUCUUCAUCAUAAUUAUUAUGAACAAACAUCCAUGAUAAUUAGUCUUUGACAAUUUAUUUGUGACAAUGUAUUUAUAGCAAAAAAUGAACCAUACCUAAAAUUAGGUCAAGUUAUUCUAAUUGUUCAAAUUAACUCUUUAGUAAUAAGAUCAAGUAAAUCUUAUUUGGCUACUCUAGAAGCAAAUAUUCAUGAACAUUAUGGGGAAAUCUUUUAUGAAGGAGAUACAUUAAUUACACUUAUAUAUGAAAAAUCAAGAUUUGAUAAUAUAACGCAUGGCCUUCCAAGAGUGGAACAAGUAUAUAUAUAUAUAUAUAUAUAUAUAUAUAUAUAUAUAUAUAUAUAUAUAUAUAUAUAUAUAUAUAUAUAUAUAUAUAUAUCAUAUGGUUAAGUUUUUGGAGGUCAUUUGUAAGUUUUUAUUAACAUGGUAUUAAAGAAGGUGAAUAAUUUUUUUCUUAAAGUCUCAAAGAAGGAAGCCAUAACAAAUUAUGAUCCCAAAAUCUCUAUCAAUUUCUUCCAUCUCUAUAUUUCUAAUUAAAUGCUUGGUAACUUGGUCACUAUUAGAAUAUCUUUCUAGUUUGUGCUUAACUAAAAAAAAAUGUUUUUAUUGUUAUGCAUUCAUUUUGUCCUAGAAAUUACCUUUAAAAUGUUUUCAUAAAUUUUUUUUUUAUAAUUUUAGUAUUUUUUUAAAAAAAAAUUAAUUAAACAUAAGUCCAACUUUUCAAUUGCAAGUUAAGUGUUGUAGGAGUUUUAUCUAAUAAGAUCUAGUGUGAUAUGUUUUUUUAUCAUAAAGCAAUGGAAGAAGAAAUAAUUACUUUUGUUAUAUAUAUAAUUGAUUUCAUAUUUAAAACCAUAUUUAAAAAAUAUUUUAGCAAAUAUAAAAACAAUUUACAUUUUUUUAAAAUUAAUGAAAUAAAACUUUGAUUUUAACAUCAAAGCAUUUACGUACAUUUUCAAAAUAUUAAUAAAUCCGAAUAAGAAAUCUAAAAAGAAUUAUCUUUGGCAUUUAAAGGUUGAUUUUAAAUUUCAAAUGACUCCCAAAUGAAACUUGAAUGCAAUCAUGAUCAAAGCCUAUAACACCAUUGGAAAUAUUAUUAUUUCAUUAUUUUAUUUACAAAAAUUUGCACUUUAGUACAUAAUAAUAUAACCAUAUAGUUCUAUCAUAUAUUAUAGUUUUAUCAUACGUGAUUUGAGUUUAACCUUUAUUAGUUUUGAUGUAACUUGGGUUUUGGUAUGACUUACCCUCAACAUCAGUUUAUAUGACUUGUCUUAAUGUGACUCGAGUUGUAGCAUAGCUUGAGUUUUAAACAAUUUGAUUUCAAAUUUAAAAAAAAAAACAUAAAAAAAAAGCCCUUUUUAUUUUGAAUAUCUUGAUAAUUCAAAAGACUUUGUAAGAAUUGAAGAUUUGGAGAAUUCGAUUAACUCAUUUUAAUUUUAUAACAUGAAUUCUAAACAAAUCAUAAGUUGAUUUAGUUAAUAAAAUGGUGGCUGUUAGCAUCAAUGCCACCAAACCACUUAUUUUUGUGUAGCCCUCACAAUCAUAGAAAUUGAACGACACUUCAAUAUCUACAGCUCUCCUCUUAUUUAGUUAAAGACUUAGUUGAAAAUUCUUGAGUAGAAAAAUAUAGGAAAAAGAUAAUAAAAAAAUAAAAUAAUAAAUUUUAAAAUAAUAAAUGACUUUUUACUUGUUUCUUCUAACUUAAAUAUAUAUAAAUUAAAUAAUUUAAAAUAUAUAUAAAAUUCUAAUUAUUUUAAUUAUAUUUGAUUUUUAAAAAAAUAAUUCUACGAUGAAUUAAACAUAAGAAAAUGAAAAAUCAUUAUUUUUAAUAUUAUUUUCAAUACUUUUGGGUUAAUUUUUGAGUCAUUAAAUCACAAUUAAAAAAAAAGAGAGAAGAAAAGGGGAGUUUAAGACCAAAAUAAUAUAUUUGUAAAAAAAAAUGAUAAGAAUAGUAUCCAUUUGAAAAUAUUUGUCAAAGUAGUCUUCUUUAUCCACGUAAGCAUCCACAUGGAUUUUAAGUGUAAAGAACCACCGUUGGUGACUGUGGUUUUAGUACUUACAAAAAUUUCCUUAAAACCACAGUUACAAACUGUGGUUUUACAAUUUCUCUUAGAACCACAGUUAUUAACUGCGGUUUUAAAAGAAGUUUCCUUAAAACCACAGUUACAAACUGUGGUUUUACAAUUUCCCUUAAAACCACAGUUAGUAACUGUGGUUUUACAAUUAUUUUCAAUUCACAUCUAUUUUAAUGGUGCUGUAAUUUNNNNNNNNNNNNNNNNNNNNNNNNNNNNNNNNNNNNNNNNNNNNNNNNNNNNNNNNNNNNNNNNNNNNNNNNNNNNNNNNNNNNNNNNNNNNNNNNNNNNUACAAAAAUUUUCCUUAAAACCACAGUUACAAACUGUGGUUUUACAAUUUCUCUUAGAACCACAGUUUUUAACUGCGGUUUUAAAAGAAGUUUCCUUAAAACCACAGUUACAAACUGUGGUUUUACAAUUUCCCUUAAAACCACAGUUAGUAACUGUGGUUUUACAAUUAUUUUCAAUUCACAUCUAUUUUAAUGGUGCUGUAAUUUUAAUAUUAUUUUUAAAAUAUUUUUUUAUCAAAAUACCCAUAAAACCACAGUUAGUAACUGUGGUUUUACAAUUAUUUUCAUUCUGCAUAUAUUUUAAUAGUGUUGUAAUUUUAAUAUUAUUUUUAAAAUAUUUUUUUAUCAAAAUUACAAUUAUGUUGUAAUUUUCACAAAUAUUUUUAAGGGGACUUAUGUAUAAAAAAGUAUGGGAUUUUCGAAUUUUGCUUUUCACAAAUUUUUUUGUUACGACUGUUUUAAAAUAUAUAUAUAUAUAUAUUAUCUUUAUUUUUUCAUAUUUUCCUUGAAAAUUUGAGAAAAUAAUUUGGUCUACAUGCAUUCCCAUAAAAAUUUAUAUAUUUAUAGUAAAUAAAAUAUUUAUUUGUUUUACAAAUAUUUUCACAUAUGAACUAAAGAAAAUUAUUUAUUCAUAUUAUUUUUAAAUUUUUAAAUAACUAAAGAAAUUGUUUAUAUUAUUUUAAAAUUUUAUCUUUUCAUAUGAAAAUUAAUGUCAGUGAUUAUGAUUUUAGGUUAUUUAUUAUUAAGUAUGAUUUGAACUUAUGUCUGGGUUAAAAUGUAUAAUUUUUUAAUUAUAUGAAAGAAAAAUAGGUAGUGGUUGUAAUAAUUUAUUUAAUUAGAAUUUAUUUCAUUUAGACUUUAGGAUGCAUUUGAGUUUUAUUUGUUUAAAUUAUCAAGGAAACAUGUGAAUAACAUAACAUCACUAAUUUGAAUAACUGUGGUUUUAUGGUUGUUUUGAUAAAAAAAAUAUUUUAAAAAUAAUAUUAAAAUUAUAACACCAUUAAAAUGGGAACAAAUUAAAAAUAAUUGUAAAGUUAGGAAAUUGUAAAACCACAGUUUGUAACUGUGGUUUUAAGGAAACUUAUUUUAAAACCGCAGUUAGUAACUGUGGUUCUAAGAGAAAUUGUAAAACCACAGUUUGUAACUGUGGUUUUAAGGAAAUUUUUGUAAGUUCUAAAACCACAGUUACCAACGGUGGUUCUUUACACUUAAAAUCUAUGUGGAUGCUUACGUGGAUAAAGAAGACUACUUUGACAAAUAUUUUCAAAUGGAUACUAUUCUUAUCAUUUUUUUUUAUAAAUAUAUUAUUUUGGUCUUAAACUCAGAAAAGGGGGGACCUAAAAUAUUGUUAACCAAGAAAAAGGUUUUAUCUUCUGCUAGGUAAUGAUUGUUGACUGAAACAGCUUUUCUUUUGAGUUUAAGACCAAAAUAAUAUAUUUGUAAAAAAAAAUCAUAAGAAUAGUAUCCAUUUGAAAAUAUUUGUCAAAGUAGUCUUCUUUAUCCACGUAAGCAUCCACAUAGAUUUUAAGUGUAAAGAACCACCGUUGGUAACUGUGGUUUUAGAACUUACAAAAAUUUCCUUAAAACCACNNNNNNNNNNNNNNNNNNNNNNNNNNNNNNNNNNNNNNNNNNNNNNNNNNNNNNNNNNNNNNNNNNNNNNNNNNNNNNNNNNNNNNNNNNNNNNNNNNNNUUAAUGGUGUUAUAAUUUUAAUAUUAUUUUUAAAAUAUUUUUUUUAUCAAAACAACCAUAAAACCACAGUUAGUAACUGUGGUUUUACUAAUGGUGUUGUAAUUCAAAUUAGUGAUGUUAUGUUAUUCACGUGUUUCCUUGAUAAUUUAAACAAAUAAAACUCAAAUGCAUCCUAAAGUCUAAAUGAAAGAAAUUCUAACUAAAUAAAUUAUUACAACCAUUACCUAUUUUUCUUUCAUAUAAUUAAAAAAUUAUACAUUUUAACCAAGACAUAAGUUCAAAUCAUACUUAAUAAUAAAUAACCUAAAAUCAUAAUCACUGACAUUAAUUUUCAUAUGAAAAGAUAAAAUUUUAAAAUAAUAUAAACAAUUUCUUUAGUUAUUUUAAAAUUUAAAAAUAAUAUGAAUAAAUAAUUUUCUUUAGUUCAUAUGUGAAAAUAUUUGUAAAACAAAUAAAUAUUUUAUUUACUAUAAAUAUAUAAAUUUUUAUGAGAAUGCAUGUAGACCAAAUUAUUUUCUCAAAUUUUCAAGGAAAAUAUGAAAAAAUAAAGAUAAUAUAUAUAUAUAUAUAUAUUUAAAACAGUCGUAACAAAAAAAUUUGUGAAAAGCAAAGUUCUAAAAUCCCAUACUUUUUUAUACAUGAGUCCCCUUAAAAAUAUUUGUGAAAAUUACAACAUAAUUGUAAUUUUGAUAAAAAAAUAUUUUAAAAAUAAUAUUAAAAUUACAACACCAUUAAAAUAUAUGAGGAUUGAAAAUAACUGUAAAAUCAUAGUUACUAACUGUGGUUUUAUGGGUAUUUUGAUAAAAAAAAAUAUUUUAAAAAUAAUAUUAAAAUUACAACACCAUUAAAAUAGAUGUGGAUUGAAAAUAAUUGUAAAACCACAGUUACUAACUGUGGUUUUAUAGUUAUUUUGAUAAAAAUUAUUUUAAAAAUAAUAUUAAAAUUACAACACCAUUAGUAAAACCACAGUUACUAACUGUGGUUUUAUGGUUGUUUUGAUAAAAAAAAUAUUUUAAAAAUAAUAUUAAAAUUAUAACACCAUUAAAAUGGGAACGGAUUAAAAAUAAUUGUAAAACCACAGUUUGUAACUGUGGUUUUAAGGAAACUUCUUUUAAAACCGCAGUUAGUAACUGUGGUUCUAAGAGAAAUUGUAAAACCACAGUUUGUAACUGUGGUUUUAAGGAAAUUUUUGUAAGUACUAAAACCACAGUCACCAACGGUGGUUCUUUACACUUAAAAUCCAUGUGGAUGCUUACGUGGAUAGAGAAGACUACUUUGACAAAUAUUUUCAAAUGGAUACUAUUCUUAUCAUUUUUUUUUACAAAUAUAUUAUUUUGGUCUUAAACUCUUUUCUUUUUUCCUCUUCAUCUCCUGGUCAAAGUGACUUUUAUCUUGAGGCAAAAGUGUCAUCUUUUCAUUUGGCUCCAUCUUUUUCCUCCAUGUGUUAUAUCAAAUUGGGGACCUCAACUUUCCAUAUUCACAGUCUCAGAGGUCAUGAUACUCCAUUCUGCUAACCUUACACUCUCUUAUCCUAACCAUAUGCAUUUUUGUUCUUACAUCAAAACCUUGGUCCCACGUCCAUAUGUAUAACAAAUGAAUAGAUAAAUCUAAUAUUAUUUUCAAAGGAAUAUUGUUCAUCUUAAAUGAGGAGACCCCUUACACAUUUUCUAACUAUCUAUAUUUUAACUAAUCAUGUUUCAAUAUAUAUAUUGUGGACCUGGGAUCAUGUUCCCACUUGAAGGGAAUGGGAAGACUUUUUUUUAUUAAAUAAAAAAUGGAUUUUUAUUUAAAAUAAAAUAAGAAAGAAAAUUCUAAAUGUAACUCAUUGAAAAUACAAAUUUAUGAAAAAUCAAGUUUAGGUCAGGAAUCAAAUUAUUUAUUAGAAAAGUACAAAGAUGAAUCAUAGAACCCAUCUAAAUCAUAAUAAUAGGUCUCUACUAAUCAAAUUGAGAUAAGCACAAUAACUAAUAAGGUAAUCAAUGAAUACUAAACAAUGAUCAAUCAUAACACAGUACUAUAACAAAAAGUAAUCAAACGAAAAAGAGAAAGGAGCGUACAUAAACAACAAGCAAAGUGUUUCAUGAGAAACAAGGUUAGUAUAUAAUGACAAGUAAAAAAAUCUCAUAUAUCGCAAUAACAAGGCAAAGACAAUUUAUAUUCAAUAGGUACAAUACUUGAAUUAUUAUCAAAAGAGGGUAUCAUAUAUGUAGGCUCCACCAAUGCCUAAUUUAGAUUUGCAUAAAUUAAUUCUAUAAAACUCCAUCUUCCUAAUAAUCAUGGAGAAGGAUCAUAGAAAUUUGGAAGAAAUUCCAUUAUUUUUGGAAAUAUGAAAUCUAUUCAUAUUUACUAAAGAAAAAAAAAAGAUCAAGAAAUUCGAGAACUUAUUAUCAAGGAAAAUAAAGUAAAAAUGCAUGAGAGCAGGAACUGAUUAUUUAUUAUUAAAAAAAAACUGGUUUUUUAUUGUCUAGGAAUGAAUUAUAUCAACUAAAAACAGAUUUGAAAACCCAAUUAAAAGCAUAUAAAAUCACACGGAAAUGGGAAAUGCGCACCCGGAAGGAGAAGCACUAAAGGUGGCCAUGCAAGCCAAAAUUACAAGCACGUGGAAGGGAAGGUUAAUUAAAAAGCUGUCUGUUAUUUUGGAAACUGGAUAAGAGGCAAAAGUCAUCUGCUUCAAUCCCAUGUCUAGGAGAUGAUCCUCCUUCCUAACUUUUCAAGCCCUUUGACAAACAGCCCCAUACAAAGAGUAAAAGAUGCAUGAGUUACAUACUAUUUUUUUUUUUUUUUUGAAAAUGCAUGAUCAAAGUCUCGCAGACACAGUACAUUUGUACCUCUACAAAAAUUUGGGAGGAUGAAAUUUUAUGCUGGCGCGAGUGAUCCAUUUCCAAUACCUCAAGUUAGUGCUUUCAGUCCAUGAUCUAGGUUUCUUUCUUUUUUAUUUUAUUAUUUCUUUUCCCUUUUUUAAGGUAAUAAAAAGAGAAUACCUUGGUCUGCUCAACAUGUUUGAGCAAAAUAAAAUUUGGGCAAAUCAGCUGAGUUUAUAUCGACCUGAAGCACAAGAUCUUUGAGAAGCCUUUUAUAGACAUGGUGAUCAUGUCCAGAGACGAUGUUUUGAAAUCAAAUUCAUUAUUGCACACUGAAACUAUCCAGUAGGUAGAACGACUCAAAACUGCAAAAGCAAACCAUUAGCUUUUAAAACCUGUUUCAAGUUUCAGAGCCAAUCUCCCGAGGUGUUACUGCCAUUUGAAGAGUGAGACCAGUACUCCUUGACAAGCUGCCCAAACAGCGAUCCCUCCUUCUUUAUCAGCUUCAUCGGCUCAUCGUACUCUACCAAUUUUCCUACAGAAGCAAAAGCACUAGUUAUUUGAAUUUGUUUCACUAGAUUGAUCCCAACUAGGAUGAAAUAUUCCUUCAUAGAAACUCACCAUCACUGAUAGCAAGCACCAUUGUGCAGUCCAUCACAGUUGGGAUUCUGUGGGCUACUGUUAUUACAGUGCAGUCUGCAAAUUCUGUUCUUAUGGUCUUCUGGAGAAUGGAGUCUGUUGCAUUGUCUAUAGAUGCAGUGGCUUCAUCAAGCACUAGUAUCCGACUUCUCUUCAGUAGAGCACGUCCCAAACAGAAUAAUUGUCUCUGGCCCAUGCUCCAAUUUGAUCCGUCUAGUACAACUGAAGGGCAGACAGAUCGAUUGUUAGCAAGAGUUUUUGAGUCCGAAGAAUGGUACCUGUGUGUAUGAUGCUUCAUACCUAAGGAGUCCAGGCCCUCUUUUUUCUCUUGAACAGCCCCUCGAAGUUGACAUUUUUCCAGAACCUGUCACACAUUCAUGAGAAACAAUCUUAGUCUAGGAUAUAAAGUAAAUUAAACUUAUUAGGAAGCUGUUCUUUUUCAAGGGACUACGACAACAAAUAUUUGGUAUGGAAAGAAAAUUAGGAGGUAUUUAACAGCACUCAAACAUCUUUGUGUUCCAAAACACAGAAUAUCAGGAGUUCGAUUAAUGACAUCAAAAUCUGACAGCAUUUAAUUAGUUUGAUAGAGUAGAAACUGCCAUGUCUAUGCACUUAAGAGUGAAGCCUGCUUCAUAACACUAGCAGAAUCUUUUAGAAAUUUGUAUCAUAUCAUGAUCGAAUCCUACAAUUAGCAACCACAACAAAUUAAUAGGAAACUCACCUCCCAUAUUUCUUCAUCAGUAUGCAGUGAUAAAGGGUCAAGAUUGCAUCUUAUAGACCCGCUAAAAAGAGUUGGUUCUUGUGGAAUGAUCCCAAGACGUGAUCUGAGAUCAUGUAGCCCAAUUGUGGAAAUAUUUAUGCCAUCUAUAAUUAUCUGUCCCUCUGUAGGCUCUACCAAACGAAACAAAGCGCUGAUAAGAGUUGUCUUUCCACUACCAGUCCGGCCAACGAUCCCAAUUUUCUGUCCUCCUCCAAAUUUGCAACUAAUUCCUUGAAGAACUAGAGGAGCAUUGAGCCUAUACCUGACCUGCUCAAUGUCAUUUCAUCUACUAUAUUAAUCUCUAUAAAUCUUGAAGUUGUAGAACAGACAAAGAUACUCAAAUUCUUACUGAUUUCACCUUUACCUUCAAAUCAUAAAUUUCCACUUCACCAAUAGCAGGCCAACUGACUGGUGGUCGAUUACUCUCUAUGACUUCUGGGGCUUCGCUAGGAAUAUUCGUGUACUGUUCUAAUCUUUCAACAGAAACAAUCAUAUUUGCUAAAUGGCACUGGUUUUGGACGGAAAACACAAGGAAUACAUUCAUUGAAAGACCAUACGAUAAUGCCAUUCCAAUAAAUCCUGCCAUCAGAACAUUGACAACGAAAAUGCUCGUUAGACAAUAAUUCCAUAAAUGGUUGUCAAUUACUAAGAUUACUUUAAAUAUCACAUUGACCAAGUUAGUUUUGAAUAUCAAAUACUGUGUAUGUAGGAAUUUAGUAGAAGGGUUUUUCUUUUGGAUUAUGCACUGAUCUGUUUGUAUGAUUAUUGUGUAAGAAUCAUGGACUUGUUAGCUCACUUUGUUCUUGUUAUAACCCAAGUUUCUAGUUAUGAUGUUGAGAAAGUUGGAGCUAAAUUCCGUUGAUUAUAGUGAUUUUUUAUUACUACCAACUGAGCAGCUAUUGUUUCAUGAUCUACAAAGCCCUAUCUUGUAUUCAUUUCACUCUACUCAAGGUCAAGUAGGAAACUAAGAUAGGUAACUUUCCUAUUUAAUGUUGGAUAUUGUUAUUGGAUUUUAGGUCAUCACUGAAUUGCCUCUAAAUGUUUCAUCCUAUUGAAGUUCCUUCUUUUCAUUGAGAAAUAUGAAAAAUUAUCGGAGACCCUGGGUUGUUCAUCUAUUUCUUUUUCAGUUAAAAACAAAUGCUAGCUAGCAAGCAGUCAUAGCAGGCAACAGAAAAGCCUUUUUUUUUUUUUAUCUUGAAUGUUCUGAUGCUUUCGAAGAAUUUACUAUUUGCGCCCUUAAUCAGACACUUCAUCUUUAUCAGUUUCCAGUUGUCUAUCUUACCUACUGAAAAAUCCUAAUGGUAUCCUCUUGUAAGGAUCAAAAUUCACAUGGCCAAUUACUAGUCUCAAAGUUGCACAGGCCCCCUUAGGUUAAACAUGUUAUAAACUUCUAGGGAGUUAAACUGUUGAAAUUGAAGCAACUGCAAUGACAUUGAAGGUUCUGGCAUGGACCUUGUAAUUUAGUGUCCAUUCUCAUUGAGCCUCUCGAGUAAAUUAGAGCUAUCUCGGGUAAGGGACAGGAAGGACCUGUAAUUUUGAUGGUGUCUUGAGUUUGCGGUUUGGUACGCUCAGGGAAAGAAAAGGAUAAAGAGUAUUUUUGGUGUUUUUCUAUUGGAGAUGGAAGGUUUUGUUAUUGGCAUCCACAAAUAGGGUAAACUGGCAGAUCUCUAGAUGAUAUUAGGCAUUCUAUUUCAGGUAAGGCCAGUGAUCCAGGUGGCUCCUAUGAGAUAUAGCUUCAAGUUGCGGUCGAGUUAAAAAUGCAAUACGGUGAGUGGAAGGCUCACCGUAACAUGGGGGUGGAAUUGAUAAACUAGAUCAAAAUCUCUCAUAUUGAAUGGUGACUUGCCUUACUAUCAGGUGAAAUGGUUGGAUAGGAUCCUUGUAAUUAAGCCAAGAUUGUGAUUCAAAUGGUACUUGUAGCGGAACGAAUUUGCGAUUUCAUCUUAGAGAAUUGAUAGUUAGGAAUGUACAAGCAAACUAACAAAUUCAAAUGUAAUUGAGCUGUAUAAACUAGUGAGAAACAAUAGUAUAUUUGAGAUGAAAAACACCUACCAGAUUUAGAAGCACUCGUAUGAAGAGAAGUUAGGGCAAGGGCUGAAGAUGAGAGAACGAUUGCACAUAGUAUUUCAAGGCGUUGGAUCAACCACUCAUUUGCUGUGAAAUUAUAGAAGAAUGGACUUGCAUUUAUGUCAAUGAAGUCCAAAUUCUUUGAAAAGUGUCUAUCUUCCUCCCCGAAAGCUCUAAUUGUCAUAGCACCAGCAAUGGACUCAGCAAGAUGGCUUGCAACGAAAGACUUAGUUGUGCCAUUGAUUCGCAUCAACUCUUUUCCAGUAGCAAGGUAGUACCUCUGGUUGUUAGAAUGAAAACAGACUUGAUCAAGAAGCCAAGGGAAGUACAAAAUAUCGUACAAGUAAGACAUGCCUAAAUGAGAAGGGAAGCAGCCGCCUCUGCUGCAUCUAUGUAAAUAAACAUGAGACAGCAGUGUAUUUUACCUGGAUGAGUAUACUAAGAUAAAUUGUUGGUAAAAUGACAAACACAAAUUCCCAGGCAAGAAUAGCCAACACUCCAAAACUGGCAUAAGUAUUAAUAGCUGCCCCAACAGCAAAACUAAAUUUGAAGGCCACAUCAAGGUCAACCACACUCAAAUCAGAGGAUACCUAUAAAAGACAAUAAAAAAAUAAGUUUCUGUUGUUUGUAAUAUGCAUUUAUUUCAAGCAUCUUACCCGACUGAGUAUCCUUCCCAGAGGUGUUGAGUCAUAAAAGGACAUUGGUGCUCGAAAAAAAGAGCUCAGCAGUGUAGAAAAAAUAGACUGCGAUGCCCCAAGGCCUAAAAGAACAACGAAAAAAGACCGGAGCGACGAAAAGAAUGACAAACUUAAUCCGAUCCCUGUGUAUACUGCAAUCAGUUUCAAUUGGCUAACACUAAAAUUCUGGACAUUUGCAGCCAACCAAUAGUUUUGCACCAACUGCCCAACAACGAAUAUGACAUGAGAUAGAGUUGACAAAAAGAAGUACAAGAAUCCCUUGCUGUAUUCCAAGUACUGUAGGUAAGGCUUCAGACCAGUGUCUCCCAUUUCUCUUUCUUCUUUCUUAAUUAACUGUUCUCCGGAUGUUUCUCUUAACUGUUUUUCAGUGUAAAUCUUCUGUAUCUCUCCCUUCCGAAUUUUAGAUUUCUGGGUAGAAUCGUGCUCAGGUUGCCUCUCAGAACCAACCAUGGCAUUGUGUGCAUUGACAAGGUCCUGGAACUCUUGACUAGAGUGCAUCAGCUGGUCAUAGGUAGCAGCUUGCAGGAUCUCCCCUUCGGACAUUAACUGCCAACAGAAUUAGUCAUUUGAACUGUUUGAUUUAAAAGCAUGUGUUACUCAAAGAUUGGCUUCCAGAUGAUUGAAAUUAUUUGUUAAGAAAGGAAAAUGAAGUCAAAUCAGAGUUAAAGAAGUAUAUCCAAGAAAGUAAGUGUACUCACCAAAACCAAAUCGAAUGCAGGGAGGAAGUCCACUUGGUGGGUCACAAGUAUGACCGUCUUCAUUGAUAGAGCUCCCAUGACAUAUUCCUGGCCACAACAGGCAUUAGCGUUCACUCUGAAAGCAUAGCAUAAUUUCUGACAAAGGAGAACUGUACUUACAUUAAAUAGAUUGGUUGCAGUAUGGGCAUCAACCGCACUAAAUGGAUCAUCCAGGAGAUACACAUCUGCAUCCUGAUAUAAUGCACGUGCCAGUUGAACCCGCUGCUUCUGUCCACCACUCAGAUUAACACCUCUUUCUCCUAUUUCAGUGAGAUCGCCGAAUGGAAGCAUCUCAAGGUCCUUCACUAGGGCACACUUCUCAAUAGCCUCUCUGUAUCUGUAAGGAUCCAUAGCAGACCCAAACAAAAUAUUUUCUUGUAUGGUCCCUGUUGGAAUCCAUGCUGUCUGGGAGACGUAAGCAAUCUUUCCAUAGACUCGAACCUGGAAAAGAUGGAUCCAGAAUCUAUAUUAAGACAUUUGUCUACGUGAGUCUCCUAGAACCUUUUAGGACUCUUGAAGCUUUCUACCUUCCCCAUUUUCCUCCGUGAUGCGAAUCUCUACCAAAUGAAGUGUGUAAAUCAGAAAUGAUGCAUUACUUCUUCAAUUCUUAAGUUUGUUUUCUUUUGUAUUCCUACUUAGGAAACCAUGAAAGAACAUAAAAAUUCCCCGCCGGUUUGUUGUUAUUCAUCUCAGAACAACUGUGCACAAAGUAGCUGUUGAGUAUUUAUUCUAACCCAUGGAUGAGGAAGAAAUGGAAUUGAAAGGGGUACUUACUAUGCCAUCAACGUGUGGAACUUCUCCAAGAAGUGCAGCUAAUAGUGUUGAUUUACCUGAGCCAACCUCUCCACAAAUAGCUACCUUUUCCCCAGGCUUAACCACCAAAUUUAUGUUCCUUAGCGUAGCCCUUGUAGAGUUAUCCUCCCAUGAAAUUCUGUUGCUCUUGAUAAAAAUGGAUUCCUCGAGCUGCUUCCCAUCACCCAUCUUCCUUACAUGUUUGUUCUGCAGCUCUGGUGCAUCAAGAAACUUUGCAAUCCGAUCUAACGAAAUCUUGGCCUCAAUGAAUGCUGAAAUGACAUCAGGGAUUAACCUAAUUGACUCCUGGGCAAUGCUUAAACUUGCCAUAAAUGUGAAAACAUUGCUAGCAGAGAGAGUAGUUCCAAGAAAGUAGCAUGCCCAAUAAGUAACAGCUGAUACUACAAUGGGAGAUGACCAAAACAGAAUCACAAUGUACCCUUUCUGUGACAAAACUGACAAUAACCACUUGAAUUCC